rnacentral:lncRNA from 1 species
UUGAAGUUGGAAGGGCUGCUUUCAAAACUACACUCAAUUUGAUGUCGCGGACUGUGUUCUCUGUGGAUUUAGCGGACCUGAACAGUGAGAGGGCUAGAGAGUUCAAGGAGUCGGUAUGGAGUAUAUAUUAUGGAGGAGAUUGCGAAACCAAACUUGGCUGUUUAUUUUCCUGUGCUUAAGAAGGUUGAUCCCAUGGGGAUACGGCGCCGUUUGGGCAAGCACUUCCAGAAGAUGAUUGAUCUUUUUGACCGCAUGAUCGUCCAAAGGUUAGAAUCAAGGAAGUCACGUGAUUAUGUCACAGGGAAUGAUAUGUUGGAUAGUUGCUACUUAUUGCUAUAUUACUACUCUACUCUAUCUCUACUAAUUGUUCUUGAUGACCUUGUCUGAAUUCAUAAUUAAACUGCUUAGAUUUUACAAUUAUAACUUAUUAUUGUUGUUUCUGUUUUUGUUUAUGUUAGUACUAUAAACAAUGUCUACACUGAUUAAUGUUUUGUGUUCGAAUUUCCCUAUAUUGCUUGUACAAAAAUAUAUAUAUAUAUAUAUAAUUUUAUUUCGUCAUUAUAUGUCUAUGUGCCCAUAUUAAUUUAUUGACUAAUUAACUUUUUGGUGAAUUAGGAUUUAUUUGGUGCGGCCACAGAUACAACUUCAGCCACACUAGAAUGGGCAAUGGCUGAGCUAUUACACAACCCUGAAAAGCUGUCAAAAGCACAAGAGGAGCUGAAGCAGGUCAUUGGCAAAGGAAAACCAGUGAAGGAAUCAGACAUCACUCGGCUCCCUUACAUAUACAAGCCAUAAUCAAAGAGACCUUCCGGCUGCACCCAGUUGUCCCACUUCUUCUCCCUCGUAGAGCCCAAGCAGACGUAGAAAUCUACACUUACAUUGUACCAAAGGGUGCACAAGUUUUGGUCAACGCAUGGGCCAUCGGCAGAGACCCCAGAAUUUGGGACAACCCUACCUCAUUUAUUCCUGAGAGGUUUUUGGGAUUGGAUAUCGACGUUACUGGCCAGAACUUUGAGCUUAUUCCAUUUGGUGGCGGGAGGAGAAUAUGUCCUGGGUUGCCUUUGGCGAUGAGAAUGUUGAAUUUGAUGUUGGGUUUGCUUAUUAACUCGUUUGAUAAUUGGAAGCUUGAAGAUGGAGUUGUGCCGGAAAAAAUGAACAUGGAAGAGAAGUUUGGCCUCAGUUUACGGAUGGCUCACCCUCUGAUAGCUGUGCCCAUCAAGUAUUAGGAGAACCAAACCUAGCUAGCUAUGGUUUCUACGAUAAAUGGAUUUAUGUUUUUAUUAGGGAGUUACAAUAAUUAAUCCUACUAAUGAUAGGAAAUGGUCAGUUGUCAGUUGUCAGUAAUGUUGUUAUUAGGCCAUAACUCCAUAUUUAAGUUUAUGAUAGUAGCUUGCUGUAAUUGUAGAUUGUUCUCCACAGACUUCAUAUAUAUAUGUGUGUGUGUGUGUGUGUAUUGUAUAAUAAUCAUAUGAAUGACUAUGGAAAAAUAAGUUUCUACAUGGUAUCAGAGCUAAUGGCUAAUGCCGAUUAGCGAUCCUCUAAUUACCAAAUUGAGAGUCGUUGGCACUCCUCACUCCUCACUCCUCACCCUUAAGGGUUUUUGUUUAUGUAUAGUGCUUUUUCAUCUCCUCUUCUCAAAGACGAAUAUGUUUUUCCUUUCCACCUUAGCUGUAGCCACACCUUUCUUUUACCACUGCAACCUUUUCUUCUAUUAGCCCGUUAUUUUUGUGUCUCCGUCGCGCCGUCUUUAUUGCAGACCAUCCCCUCCAUUGAGCUCUCCCGGGGCAACCCACAGCAGCUCCAUUUAUCUCCCUUGGCCAUGAUGGCCAGAUUUCUGUUUCCUUCGCGAGCCUCGUCACCACUCACCGAGUCUUCUCCUCGCCGGCCUUUAUCUCUCUCAUGCCAUGCUAUCUUGCUGUUGUUAUUCUCUUGCACAGCCGUUGCCUAUCCCUCUUAUGGCUCGCCGGCCCCUUGUUAUCCAUCAAUGUUGGGCCACUUCUCUCUGCUGAAACUGAGCAGCAAAUUUUCCUUACCUUCUUGAGCUUCUUGUUCUCAUAAGCUCCAUCUUUUUGUCUGUUUUCCCUCAAAGACCAUACCUCUGUAUCAUUGGUUUCUCUCAUUUUCUUGAAAUCUCCCUCCACUUUCUUUAUUUUGAGCUUCUUUCUCUGUUUAUCUGAGAGACUCUCCCUCCCUAUCAAGGAGUUCUCUUUUCUCUCUCUUCCAUUUUCAACAUUUUUGGUUUUUUUUUUUUUUUUUUUUGUAAUCUUCUUGUUUUACUCUUCACACCACUGAUAUCCCUUUGCUUAGCUCUCUUUCUUGAGCUCUAUAUUUCUAUGCUUCCCACGUGCUGGGUUUUGCUCUCAUUUUCUUAUAUUUAUUUUAUUUAAAAAAAACAUAAUUUGUUUAUGAACUUGUCUCAAGAGCCUGUCUUGCUCACGCUCCUUUUUUUUUGUCUAUCUCACCGUGAAACUCUUACAUGGUUUUUUUUUUCCCUCUUUUUUGUCUAUGCCCAAUGGCAAGUGUUUGUUUGUUUGUUUUUUUUUUUUUUUUUUUGUGGUUUUUUUCUUCCCCAUCCCUUUACUUUUAAAAAUUGGGUUUCUCUCUCUUUGUGCACUACUUUCUGGCCUUUAUUUUCCCACUUACCGCAUGCUCUCUAUCCUACCUAAAGGGUGAUUCCUAGGUAGAGUUAUGUUUCUCAGGUGCCUAGAGUUGUUUCCUAUGUACAUUUGACUUGUAUGUCAGCCCGUCAUGUUUUUUCUUUCCUUCCAUGAGCCCAUGCACUAUACAUUUGACUUGUAUGUCAGCCCGUCAUUUUAUUCUUUCCUUCCAUGAGCCCAUGAGCUCCUUCACUUGUUGCCUUUCAAUGGGCAUUAUUUUUAUUUUUCUGUUACUUUGUUUCUCUCAAGCCAUUGUUGCACCUAUGGAGUUCUUCUUUUUGGUUUCCCUUACUGGACUACUACAUUCGAUUGCUGCCACCAUCUCCAUCACCAUGUAGUUUCUUCACUCAAAUCUUGCUAUGUUGUGUGCGAAGAUGGUUCUCUACAGACUUGUAUAUAUAUAUAAUGUAUAAUGAUCAUAUGAAUUACUAAGGAAAAAUCAGUUUAUAUAGUUUUCAUCUUUUAUAAAUUAAGAUUAUGUUGUGUAUGCAUCCACCUUGUAACUCAAGUGGUUUUGAACUAGGGAUGGCAAUGGGUCGAAUCAGGGGUGGGCAUGGCAUUUCCAUCCCCAUCCCAUUAAGCUUUUUUCCCCAUUCCCGCCUUCAUAACUGUAAUAUUCAUAUCGGGGAUUCCCUAUCCCCACCUUCAAUGGAGAAUGGAUUCUGAUAGGAUCCGCUCCGGAAUUUCCAGGAAACCGAAGCGGACCCCGUCUUUGUUCCGACAUCUACCCGAUGCCGGGCCCACUUACGAAGAAACCGAGACUUUCUACCAAAAAUUUGGCAGAGUCUCCCCUGUAAUUUAAGCAAACCCAACAAAAAUUUUCAACAUGCAACAUACAUAAAUUAAAAAUCCUAACCAGCAACAUGCUUUCAUAAUUCAACAAGUCAUACUAAAUGGCCUCCGGCCUCACAAGUAUAAUCUACCAUGGGUGAUAACAGAGCAUCUACUGAAUUUAGAUUACAAGAACAGUUGAGUAGAAGAAAUUACUCAAAUCCUAACUAGGAAGGUUCACAGUUCGAGGCUCGUACACCAUUUGCACGCUUCCGGGAGCGACUAUUGGCUGAGGGGCGCGAAACAGAAAACAUGUGAGUAGACAAAAACCAUAUUUGCAGUUUAAAAUAAUAUAGUAACCCCAUCGUGUAAAAAUAAUGCUCAAAUCAUGCAGGUUCACAAUUCAAUAUUUAAUUACUCAAAACAUGAUUCAUUUAAAACUCUUCAAAAUACAAAUCAUCUCCUUCAUAAACCCCAUUCUCUCAAACUUACAACUCCUGCCAAACCACUGAAAAAAUUUAAUUCUACACUCACUCAACUAUACAUAUAUAUAUAUAUAUAUAAAUAUAAAUAUACAUAUAUAUAUAUAUAACUAUAAAUAGUUAUACGAUAUACUCAUCACACUACCUAGGUACCGGAAAAACGAUCCAACUGGGGGGAUCGUUUGAUUAGUCCACAGGAUUUCCAGGUGCUAUCCUGCGUCUAGGGAUGAGCGGUCCAACAGGGGGACGAAACUCCAAAGCUCCCACACCGGAACAUCCAACGCCAUGUGUAGCCCCCAAACUAUGUCCUACGCGCGCAGACUGGAUCAUCACACACCAGAACAUCCAACGCCAUGGGUGAUGACCCUAAACACUAUACAGGUCUUUCCAUACGCCGGAACAUUCAACGCCGCAUAUAGAAAGUGUCUCACACGCUGGAACAUCCAACGCCGCGAGUGAGACGCAUAACCUAUUCUUCCCACACGCCGGAACAUCCAACUCCGCGUGUGAAAAGUCUAAUAACUGAGGAAGGUACUUACAUAGUGUAAUCAUACAACUUCUCACAACAACCCCUCAUAAUCAAGUUCUAUCACAACGCACUACAACAACCCAAGUAUCUCGCCUAUAGAGAAUAUAUAUAUACUUCCCCAAAAUCCUUAUAAAACACACUCUCGAUACCCAAAAUGCCAAACUUACAAUAUAUUGCCAAGCGCUAUACAAACAUUAUAUUCAACUCAAGAAUAUAAUAUAUUCAAUAAGCCAUUAAAAUAUUAUGCAAAAAUAUUUCGUCAAUAAAACCAUGCAUAUGAUUGAAAACAAAGUCCACUCACAAAUAUUCCCACACUGCCUGACCACGUGAGCGUCAUGCCUGCUAAGUACGUGCAGUCGAAACACCUAUUUCGAGAUACGAACCGUUAAUUAAUAUAAAAUUACGUCGAAGCGGAAAUCACAAAUUAAAUGCUUAAAUCCCCAAAUUCCCAAUACGUGCACGUUGAAGAAGGUGUCCUAAGGUCCGAUUACAGGUUUGGAAUCGUUCACGAUUUUACGGUUAUCGCUAACCCGCAAACUUUGCGUUAUUGAAUCGGAACAUCCGGGACUCCGAUUCAUAAUCCGUGAAGUCCCAUACGGUCCUAGGAAUACCUAGAACAACAUAUUUUAAUUCGGAAAAGAUCUAAGGGUCGGAACCUAUCGAACCCGGAUAACGCACAAUAUGCGAAAAUCCGUUCGAUAGUCAAACGACGUCCGAAUUGAGAUCCGCGAAUUUCUAUGUGCUCGUGACAACCUAAGGAUCUCAUUGGGUUAAAUUGCAUCUUCACAGCCUCGCCCACGCGCUGCCACAUGCGCCAGCAGUGCGUGGGUGUGUAGAGUAAUUUCGGUGACAGAGAAACUCCACACCCGAGCUCACCCUUCCUAUCCUAGCUUCUACUCAAGGUCAGGAUCACUUCAUUCAACUAUGGGAAGGUCCAAUUCGGGCGGCAAUUGGCCGGAAUUUCACUUUGAAAUCCAGCCAAAACCUAGGUUUCUAAUCGAUUUUCUAGACAACAAUUCGGUCCAAACCUAUACAACAAUCAGCUAGAACUCGGAAAAUGGAUGAGAAACCAUACCUCACUCAUCGGGUUUGGGCGGCGGAGGCAGCGGCGCGACGACGGGAAAGCUCCAGUUCAAACCAGUCGAGCUCGUGGCCGGAGUUCGUGGUUUCCGACGGGAAAAACCGGCUAGCCUUGAUCGGGACGUCGAGGCGAAUCGAUCGGGACCGGUGGCGUGCCUGGCCGUGGCCGGUGCAGAGAGAACCGAAGAGAGAGAGUGUCGGUGUCGGGGAGAGAGAGAGACUGAGGAGAGAGAAAGCUGAGCGCGGGCGAGGAGAGAGAGAGAGCUUAGGUGAAAAAAAUCUGAUUUUUACUCUAACCUUUUCGAAAUAAUUAUAGUUUUGCCACUGAUAGAGUUUUGCUCGUAACUUUUUCGUUACAACUCCGAUUCAAGCCUACCGCGUGUCUACGAAUUCGUCUCAGUACCACCUACCCGAAAAUACCAUUCAUGGUCCCAAAAUCCUUCUGGAUAAGAAAAUGACCAAUUUACCCCUACCCCAAGGGUAAAUUCGUCAUUUAUUUUAAAUCAAUUAAAAUAGACAUUAAUUUUGGAGUCGGGGUGUUACAGAUUCCUUGACCUGCCCCAUUACGUAUGAAAGAAAAAAUUAAUAUAAAACUACUUUAUUUGAAAGAAAGAAAAAAAAAAAGGACUAGGGCAAGAUAAUGAAUAUAUAUAAUAUAUUAUCUAUGUACAAGACAAUAUAAGAAUGUUUAUAUGUUGACUGGAAGUUAACUAAAUAUAUAAGUAGUGUAGCUUAAAAUUUGUAUAAAUUUUAUAAAUAUAUAAUAUAAUAAUAAAAAAUAUAAAAAUAAAUCGACACAAUCACUUUAAUAGCAUAUUUAUAUAUACUAUAGUGUGUGUAUAUAUAUAUAUGUAUAUUCUAAAAAGGAGGGGGAGGAGGGGUGGGGUGGUUCGGGUUGGGGAUUAAAAUAUCAUCCCUACCCUUCCCCUAACACUAUACCCAAAAAAUUUAUUGUACCCGUCCCCAUACCUGUUUUUUAUCCUUCUUACUCGACCAUUAGGGUUGAAUCUGUGUGAAGACCCUUACCCGUGGUUAAAAUUGCCAUCCAUAUUUUGAAUAGUUAUCUUCCUUGCACUAUGUAGGGGCUUUUUUGUUCCGGCAGCUACAGAUGGGCCUGAGCUGCUGUAAAAAGCAAAAUAGGUGGAACUGCCCGUGUGUUUGAGUUCAAUAAUCAGACCCCAAGAGUGCUUCGAAAGGUUCUUGGAGCCUUAGGAAACACCUUGGCUUCCUUCACCAACAAAACCAACAGUUGCUUAUAGAUAAGUAUUUAGGCUUGGCUUGAGAAGUUUGUGGCAUGGGAGCUGAGCAUUCAUGAGUUUAGCAUGAGAGAGAGAGAGCUUGGGUUUCUUAUGAGAAACAGAGGCUUGAAGUAAGGGGAAUAGGGAGUUUUUGGGUGGAUUUGUUGAGGGAAGAGAGGGAAAGAUGAAGAUGGAAGAAUGAGUGGUUUUAGCAAAUUUUCAGCAGCUUGACGAAAGUUUUGUCAGGCUCUUGAGUGUUUUGCCAGAAGAGAAAAGGGGAAGCAAUGGAAGAACAUGGCUCGAAAUUGUAGGGUUCCAGUGGUGAGAGGUGUUGCUUGCUCUCUCUAGAUGCGGUUAUGGGAGAGAGAGGAAGAACAUGGAAGAAUGGGUGGUUUAGCAAAUUUCCAGUAGCUUGACGAAAGCUUCGUCAAGCUCUUGAGUGCUUUGCCAGAAGAGAAAAUGGGAAGGAAUGGAAGAACAGGGCUCGAAAUUGAAGGGUUCCAGUGGUGAGCGGUGCUGCUUGCUCUCUCUGGAUGUGGUUGAGAUGAUGGGUAGGAGAUACCCAUUUUUAUAGGUGCUGGAAACUUUUUUUUCCCAAGAAACCCUAACUGAUUCUUCCCAAAUCAGCCAAGUCUCCCCCUAUAUUCCUCUUCUCUUCCUUUGAUUCAUCAUUAUUUUAUGAAAUCCCCCUAAUCCGAACACACAGAGACAAGAUUUUUUGGAGCUCUAGAGUCUUCCCGCAGCUGCUGCAGUGGUGAUCUCCUAUCUUUGGCUACCACCUCUCCUUCUUUCCUCCCUUAUUUCAUGGCAAGAGCUGGUAGGAGAAAGAAAUAGGUAACGGCGUUGGUAUGAAGGCUGCUUUUCUCCUAGCAACCUGCGCACGCAAAUAUCCUUUGGUUUUCUCCAAUAGUCUGUCUUGGGUUUGCCUUUGGAGACUCCCAGUAGCUUGCUCAUACAAGUAUCCUUGGUUUUCGGUUAUGGUUUUGUCUCUAGCCAUGUGCUAGAGACUUUCAGAUAUUUUCUAAGUCACUUGGGCCAUUCCCAAAGGUGAUGGGCUAGUUUACUAAGGGCCAACUUUCUAAAGUGAUGGACUAAUUUAAUAAGAUGAUGGGCCAAUUUUCUAAGGUGAUGGGCUAUCUUUCCUCUCUUUCAUACUUACCCACAUAUUUGGGCUCAAGAAAUGGGCUCGAGUUUUGGGGUUCCCAAGCAGCCCAAAACUUCCACUUUUUGGCUCAUCAAUGGGCUAUGUGAAUGCUCGUAACCAUCCAUACCACAACCCACUCAGCAAGCCCUGGUCAUUUGUGUGGCUUGGGCCCACUUAAGCUUGUAGCGUGGCUAGGUGCAAAAUAAAGGUUUUUCGCUUGGCAUUGCAUGUCGAUUGGCAUGCUCGUGCUCGAAUUUUAUUAUUUUUUAAAUGGCUAUGGUCGAGUCAAAACGACGCUUGACGGGAUAACAUUUAGCAUGGGUUCAUAGAGCCAGUACAUUUUACGGGCUUGCUACGACCUUUUUACUUGGCGUGUUGCGUAUUUGCUUGGCGUGGCACGUGGAUUGCAACUCGCGUGAGAGUGGAUGAUGAACUUUCGCGUGCCCAAAUGGGGGUUUCUUCUCAGUAAGGUGUCGCACUGGGACGGAAAUAUAUUUGGGCCUACUCUUAGAUUUUUGUGGGCCUCAACACACUCAAGAUUCUGUGUUUGAAUCUCACCCACCCAAUAUCGAUCGCUUUUAUUAAAAUUAAAAAAAAAUAGAGACUAUGUCGUGUAUAUAUCUCAAUCAUUCAUUAAAUUUGAAUCUUAAUAACAAUUGGUUGCUGUAAGAACGUCCAGCAAAAUUAACUAUGAAGAUAGUUUUUUCUCUGAGGAAGGUUUAUUGGGGUGAAUAGAGUAAUUGGACUGCCUUGGCUUUAUGGGGCUCCUACCAUUGUUGACAAUAGGGCUACUAAUUAUAUUGGCCGUGUUUGUUGGUGGUCCUUUGAUUUCUACCUGGCAGCUGUCGAUUUUUUUUUUCCUGUUGUUUCAUCCUUGGUUAUAUUAGCCGCGGGCCUCGGCAGCUUCUUUCUUUUCUUUGCAAUUCCGUCUUAAUUUUUGUCGUGCAUGAUAAAAUUGACCUUAAAUUGCUUGGCGCUUUGGAUAAAAAAAACAGUUUAUUCAAUGCACAUUCUCAACUCGUCUUUUUCCUUUGUCCAUAAGUAAGGUUGCCGGUCUAGUUCUUUCGAUUGAUGGAGCUUAUGGUAAGAAUUUAGAUGACUUCAUUUUCGUCAAGUCACAUCAGUUGCCUUUCCCAAUCUGUCUUAAUGAGAUUGGACAAAUAACUUUAAUGGACCAGUGCGCGCAACCCAUAUGAUUUUAUCUUGGUAUGACAAGAAUAUUUAUAUGAUUUUUGGCACCGACCAUGUAUAGAAGAACAAAUUUGAUAAAAGCUUCCUUACCAAAAAUGGCUGUUAGAGAUUGCUUGUAAUAGGUGUUUUGAAUUAUUUAGUGUCGUCAAAUUAAGUCACAUAAUGCACAUGUGAGGUUGCCGGCCUAGUUCUUUUCCUUUGUCCUUUAAAAUUUUUCGUCAAAUCAAGUCACAUAAUGCACAUGUGAUUUUUAAGGGUAUUUAUGUCAAUCACUAUAUAUCUAUCUAUAUAUAUAAACCAAAAGGCAGAGAAUGGUGAAACAUUCAAAAUACCAAAAAAUGCCCUUGGUUAAUGCAAACAUUAAGAAUUGAAAUUAUUAAUUAAAUGAGGAUAAUAUGGUAAAUUCACAAUUUUUCGUAUUAAAAAAAUUAAAAUUAAAAGAAAAUUCAGAUAAUGGGUCCUAUUUUUAUGGAACACAAAUAUCCAUUAUCUUUUUUAAUUCUAAAAUAAAUUAAAAUUUUUUAAAAAAAAACCUCUCGCAUGCGCGGAAGCGCGUGCAGAGAGGCUAGUAUAUAGAAAAUUUAAAAACUAACAGAAUUUAAUUUUAAAUGAAAAAAAUAAGUAGGAAAACUAACCAAAUAAUUUCACAAACUUCCCGACCUCCUUCCAACACCAAUUCGCCCUCACCAAAAUAAAGUGAACAUUUUCUCUCUGAAAUUGAGUUAUUCUUGGUCGAUGGUUGAGGCCAAUCUUCAUCUUUCUUCUUCGUUUUGUUUUUUCUCAAAAUUUUGGUGUUAGUUCACUAGGCUUGGAUCUCAUACGUCCUGCCUCUUAAAAUUUCUUCACAACACAUCACAGGAAGAUGAAUUUAGAAACUGUAGAUCAUUGCGUCUUAAAAUUUGUUCACUACUCUACACAUCCCCUUCAAUAUGAUGGUAGAUUGACCUUGCGAAGGCCAUAUCUAAAGGAAAAGCAAACAGAGCCAUGACACUGGAAUACAGAUUUUUGUUUUGUAAAUUUUUUAUAAGUUAUUCGGUGUUGAUUUUCCAAUUUAAAAAAUGUGUUUGGAAAUCUUGUUGGCUCAAUCACUUUUCUUUCUUUGUUUCUACUCUUUUAUAAAUUUUUUUUGGGAGCUAUUAGUAAUAUACUCAGAAUAGGACCUGAAAUUAUAAAAAAAACUCUAUAUAAAAUACACUUUAGAAACACACCUAAAAAUCAUUUACUAUAUAAAAAAUGAGUGUUGGAGUUCCUAUAAAUUACAUCUCUGUCAUUGAUUAACUUAAAACAAGCCCAAUACAAAAAACUAAAAAAAACCCAAAAUAAGCCCAGCAAGUCCAACUCAUAUUUGACCACCAAAAAAAAAAAAAGAAAAGCCCAAGAAACCCGAAGUACAUUAUUAAUACCAUAUCAUAGAAGUACAUUAUUAAUACCAUGUCAUAAAGAUACAUUGUUAAUAUCAUGUCAUAGAAGUACAAUGUUAAUAUCAUUUUAUAGAAAAAUAUUGUUAAUACCAUUUCAUGCAAAAAACUCAAGCAAGACAUCCGAUAUCCUUUGCAAAAACCACCUCCAAUUAUCCAUAGUUUCACCAGAAACAAUCGCAAAGGCAAAAGGAAAUAGCUCUACAAGGAAAAAAAAGAAAAGAAAGUACACUGUUAAUACUAUGUCAUAGACCUAUCUUCCAAGUAAAAAUCACAUUAUGCAUAUCAUAAACUUCAAGUGCACAGCUAUAUAUAGAGCAAAAUAUAUAGCAUGCUUUGUUACUGAAAAUAUGUUAACACUAUGUCAUAGAAGUACAAUGUUAAUACUAUGUCAUAUAAAUCAACUCAGUUGUAGGGUAUGAACAGUAUAACAACUGUUCAUACCACUUACUGGAAGCUAACAAUAUCAUUUCAUUCCUGCCACCAUCAGAAUCAGCAUAUUUGUGAGGAGAGAAAGAGUCGCCGGACAAGACUUCAGAGUAGGAUCCAAUAGCAUAUGAAGCUUGUUUCAGAUACAUCAUCAUUUUGGCGUGGGGUUCAGGAUAAGAAGCAAGUUUCUCAUCCCCUGCAUAGGAGGGGUUCAACAAGUUUUGGUUGCUUAAAUUUUGGAAAUAUGUAGCCAUAGCUUGGUUGGUUGGUUCCUCUGUCUCCAAAGCCAAAGCCUUGAGUUAACCUGCUACAAAAUCCAAAUUACCAAUCUUGCUCAUAAACAAAUUAACAUUGUAGAUCAAUCACAGAUUCCUAACAUAGAAAAUAAGAAACUCAUAAAAAAGAAAGCCUAACCAAAAUUACCAAAAGCAAAACCAGUAAAAUGAAAAGGAAUCACAGAGUGAUCAAAAGAACAGAAGCCAAAUUUAACCCAAAUAUAAAAAUCGUCUUCUUCUUUUUUUUCGGAUCAUCAGAAGUAUGUAGUGAACAUGUUAACACAAGAAAUUAUAUCAAGCACUCAAAUUCCAUUCCAUUCCAUCACAAAGAAGAAUAGUAACAUAAUUAAUUAAAAUGAAAUCAACAGAGGAGCUUUUGAAGUGUACCUGAAAGUUGUGGUUUGGGAAUGAAUUGUGAAGUAAAAACAAAUGGAUAAAAGAGAAGAGAAACUGAGGCAAAGUCCUCCACCUCCUCGUCCUCCCUCCCGAAUUGGAGACAAACUCCAGAGUCAUCGAAAACAGCGUCGGAAAACUCGAAAUCUACAAACGUUUCCGAGCUGGCAGCGGCGUCGUGAGUGGCUGAGGUGGCUGUGAUUCAGCCCAGACAUGAUCACCGGCCCUGGCCGGUCCUUUUCUGAUCAGUCUCACGGUUGGCCGUGCUUGGACCACCAAGAUCGACGGCCAACCUGGUUUCUGCAAAGGGAGAGAGACAAAAGAGAGAGCCCCAGAAUUUUGAAAAAAAACUAAUUUAAUACUAAAAGGGUAAUAAAAGUAUUUCAUUUAACUAAUUAAACUAAAAAAUUUAACAGCUGUGAGUUUUUUUGGGUGUGUAUAUAUACAUUGAAUGGUGUAGGGUUUCUUUAUAAAAUUAUGUCUAGGAAUGGGUAUUUAACUUUUAUUUAUUUAUUUUGGGGGGCGCCGGGGGGGAGAGAGGGGGGGGGGGGGGGGGGGGGGUUUGGGCCCCCGGGGGGGCUUGUUUAAAACUAUGUGUUAAAAGGGGAGGAAAAAUCUUUGGAAAAUACGGGGGGGUUUAUUUUUUUUUUGGUAUUUAUUGGGGGUUGGCGGGGAAUGACCUUUUUUGGAGCAUGGGACUUGGUUUUNNNNNNNNNNNNNNNNNNNNNNNNNNNNNNNNNNNNNNNNNNNNNNNNNNNNNNNNNNNNNNNNNNNNNNNNNNNNNNNNNNNNNNNNNNNNNNNNNNNNCUAUCCUGGAUUGGAAUCGACGACCUUAUUUGAAGCAUGUGACUUGAUUUAACGGAAAUUUUUAAAGGAGUAGGACGUAGGUGGUAAAUAUUUCAACACUUUAAAUAGUUUAAGUGGUUACUAGAAAAAAUUAAAAAUUCAUGUGAUAAUCCCGCACGUACCUAAAAGUUUGGAUAAUAUUUAUGUAAAUUCCCCUUUAGGGUAAAUAGAGAUAGCUUGUAAAAGCUUCCACUCGUAACAAAUAAGUCCGGACCCAAAUUGUUCUCAAAUGUCUUUACCUAAGUUUGUCUCUUAGCUUAGGGGAUAUAUAUAAACGACUUAAAAGAGUUAGUAUUGAAAAGAUAUUUUUAUGCUUUCUCGAUAAGUCUCAACAAUCGUGCCAAAAAUUAAUUAAGAGUUAGGCGAGAGAUGGAUUUCUUGUGUUGCAUGCAAAUGUGUCUUAUGGUAGCCUGGAUUUCUUGUGGGGGAGCUGGGAGGAGAAGGGGAUGGAGAGAAAGAGAGGGAGGUUUUUUUUUUUUUUUAAUAAGGAUUUUUUAAAUGUUAUUUUAUUAUAUUAUAUAAUUAAUUAAUUAUUUUUUUAAAAGAAACAGUGGGUCCUAUAGUGGACAUGUCAUCAGUUAAACCAAACGGUCAACUAAACAGAAUGUCUAAAUUGGUCAAAUUUGAAAAUCAUCGAAUAUAAAUUAAUGAAAUUGAAACUCGAGAGUCUAUAUUGAGAAUGACCCUAAAUUUUCAGGAAGUCUUUUGACAUUAAUCCUAAGGCCACCUCCACCGCAGCCCAUUUUGCCAGGGCAAGAGGCCCAUAUUCUGGGGUUUGGACCUCCAGCGCACGCGAAGCAGCCCGGGCAAGCCUUGGGUCCCACCAACCCGGGCAAGCCCAAAGGCAGAUUUUGCCUCGGCUUCAGCCCGAAGGCCCUGACGUCAGCGAGCAAAAAAAAUUGAAAAUAAAUAAAAAAUAAUUCAAUUUAAAAAAAAAAAAACCAAAAAAUUAUGGAUGUUUUCCCUAUAAAUACGUAACAAUUUUGUUCACUUUCCACACCAAAUCCUCAUACAAACUCUUUUCCUUCCAAUAUUUGUAAAUUGUAAUCAUUUUUUUUUCUUGCAUUUGUAAAUUGUUUAUAUUUUCUUCCAUAUUAAUUUUUUUCUUGCAUAAUCAUUUUAUUUCUUGCAUUUCUAAAUUGUUUAUAUUUUGUUGCAUAUUCUUUUUUUUUCUUGCCCUUGCCCUACCCUUUUAGGUUGGAACCAAAAAAAAGGAAGGUUGCUACUAUUCACGUAAAUAGUAACAGCCCUUGCCUUGCCUUUGCCUUAGCCUUAGCCUUAGCCUUAGCCUUUUGGGGUGGACAUGCUCUAAUAUAUAUUUGUAAUUACAUGACAGUGUUUCAUGUUGCAUUCUCUGCGGGUCCUUUUCAAAAAAAUCAGCCAUGUGCACAAGAGUGAAUUUAGCCGAAGACAUGUCAUGUCUUCUGUUCAUAGAAAAACAACAAAGAAACUUUCUUUCCACAAAUGCAUGAAUGUACUGUCUCCUUGCGUCACGCAUCUCAAUUUUCAAGGUUGAUUGGUAAUAAGAAUAACUAAGAGCAUUCAUAGUGGUGGAGUGUAUUUUUGGUGGUGUAAAGCUACUUUUACAUCCCCUUUACACCUUCAGGGGGUGUAAAUACAUUUUUUUGCUCUAAUGAGAAACGAUGUAAAUCUAAGAUGUAUAAUUUUUCCUCUCUUUUCUCGAGUGGGUCUCGUCUGCAAAAGAUGUAAAAAUAUAUGCAAAUGUGCAUUUUAUUUUACAUUUCCAUAAUGAUAAUGUAUGUUACAAUCUUUUACAUCUCUCUAUUAAAGAUGAUUCCGAUAAACAAGGGAUGUAUAUUUAACAUAUAACUCCUUAUACACCCUCCCAUUAUAAAUGCUCUAACAAAACAUGAGCUCCUACUGGGAAAAAAAAAAUUCAAUGGGACCAAUAAUCAGUUAUUUUGAAUUGUAGCUACCCAUUCUUUGACUCACAUGCAUAUAUAUAUAUAUAUAUAUACUUUUCUUGGUGGGAAAAGUCCCUUGAGGAAAUUGUAUAGGAAAUUGUACUUUUUUGUCUUGUUGCAUUUUUCUUUUCUUGUUCAAGUAGUUUUGGACCAUCCUCUUUCAAAGCAGACAUGUGCAGUGCAGUUGCAAAAGACCAUUAGCCCUCGUGCAUGUUUAUGGGAAAAAACAAAACCACUGGCCCACUUGGCUAUAAAUUAUUGUAUGUAUGUCAUUUACCUUCUUCUUAUUUUAUUUUAUUACUGCAUGUCAUUUACUAUUUUACAUGUGAUGUGCAUCUGUGACUCUGUGAGAAUGAUAGCUUCCAAACGCUAGACACUAUGAGUGAUAAAUUAUUUUGAUUAUAGAAUUUAAAGUUAAAUGAUUUUAAUUCUUUGGAAUUUUUUAGACCAAAACUCGAUUUAUUCGAAUUAUAAUAGUUUAAUUUAACAACUUUUGUGCAAUUAGAAUUAGAGAGAAAAUGGAUUUCUUGAGUUUUUGUAUGGUCUUGCUAAGCCUUUUCUCUGUGUUGUUGUUCUCAAUUAUUCAAGUUCUGCAAAGCAAAGUCAAUUCCAAAAGGCAUCUUCUCCCACCUGAACCAAAGCCAUUGCCCUUUAUUGGCAAUCUUCUAGAGUUUGGCAACAAACCCCAUCUCUCUCUCACGAAGCUUUCUCAAAUUUAUGGCCCCAUUAUAACUCUGUAACUCGGCCAAUAUUCAUAUUGGGGAUUCUCCAUUCCCACCUUCAAUAGGGAAUGGGCAUUACGUACGGAAGAAAAAUUAAUAUAAAACUACUUUAAAAAAAAAAAAAAAAGACUAGAGCAAGAUAAUGCGUACAUAUAAUAUAUUAUCUACAUACAAGACAAUAUAAGAAUGUUUACAUAUUGACUGGGAAGUUAACUAAAUAUAUAAGUAGUGUAGCUUAAGAUUUGUAUAAAUUUUAUAAAUAUAUAAUAUAAAACUUAAUCGGCACAAUCACUUUAAUAGCAUAUUUAUAUAGCCCUGAUCUUUUGGACCAGAGGGGUUCCAGUGGCUUCUUUCUUUUCUCUACACUUGUCUUAAUUUUUGUCGUGCUUGAUAAAAUUGACCUUAAAUUGCUUUGUGCUUUCGACCAAAAAAAAAAAAAUGUUUAUUCGAUGCACGUUACGUUCUCAACACGUCUUUUUCCCUUGUCCAUAAGAAAUGGGCAAGUUGCAGGCCUCUAGUUCUUUCGAUUGAUGGAGCCUAAUUUCAGGAUCAUUUCUGGAUCCACCGGUGCCUCCUAAACUGUACACCAAAACCAUUCUUUAUUAUAAAAUAGUUGACCUUGUUAUAAAACCAAAGAAUUGAGGAGAGAAUUUAGAAGCAGGGAAACAGUAGGAUUGGUUCCUCUCUUCAGUAUUAUACCAUCCGUCCAUUACAAGGAGGGGUGAACCCUUUUGUAGGCAAAGCCCCUUCUAACAUGUGGUGGGCUCCACCUUAUCACCUUAUCACCUAAUCACCUUAUCAUUUACAACAGACCUUUGCUCAGACGCCCAUACUAACAUGGCAGAAGUAAAACAAUUGAACUUGAACACUAGAGAGGUGCUUGUUUGAAUAUGAAUAGCCACCUGGCGGCUGUGGAGCUCUUUUACAAUUUUCGUCUUAUCUCCCUUCUAAUCUAUAUAUAUAAAGCAAAAGGCAGAGAAUGGUGAAACAUUCAAAAUACCAAAAACUGCCCUUGGUUAAUGCAAACAUUAAGAAUUCAAAUUAUUAAUUAAAUGAGGAUAAUAUGGUAAAUUCACACUUUUUCAUAUUUAAAAAAAUUAAAAGAAAAAGAAAAAGCAGAUAAUGGAUCCUAUUUUUAUGGAACACAACUACCCAUUAUCUUUUUUAAUUCUAAAAUAAAUUUACUUAUUUUUAAAAAAAAAACCUCUCGCAAGCGCGGAAGCGCGUGCAGAGAGGCUAGUUAAACAUUAAAUUACUUGAUGCUUUCGACCGAAAAAGGAAAAAAGAAAUUACUUUAUGCAAUUUUCCUUGUCUUUUUCCUUUGUCAAUAAUUUACGGGCAUGAACUAAUAUAACAUUAGGACUUUAUAUUUUGUUAACUUUCAAAUUUUGUUUAAUCUUUUCCAAAAUUUGAUUUUUUUGAUGGACAUAUAACAUAAACAUACAUUAAAACUAAAUAAGUUAACAACAACAAAAAUGAACGCGUAAAAUAAAUUACGUCAUAAAAAUAAAAAAAAAACUUAUAGAGCCUCCCAUUGUGAGAAAGAUACCUUUAGAGCCAGUAAUAUUUCAUUAGGGCUCUAAAUGGAGUUCUAUCCACCAUAUUUAGAGCCUCAACCAUUGAGGAUGGCCUUAUAGAACCCUGGUUAUACAGCCUCUCAUUGUGUGAAAGAUACCUUUAGAGCUCGUAAUAUUUCAUCGGAGCUCUACAUAAAGCUCUAUCCACCAUAUUUAGAGCCUCAACUAGGAUGGCCUUAGAUAACCUGAUAAGAUAAACAUCGCCAUCCACCAUACGAAGUGGUGGCCUUAGAUGAGGUUUGUAAAUUAUAUCACCAUCUUUUUCAAUCCACAACGAGAAGAAAGAGUUGAAGGCGUAGAAACAAACAAAGCGGUCCAAAUAACAAAAUGCAUCACACUCAAAUAGGGACAGUGGGACUUUUUUGGUAGGUGCUUUCGGGAAAAAUGGUUAAAAAGAGGUCAAGUGGGGAUGGGGAUGGGGAUGGGGCUCUAUAUUUUAUGUAUUUUUAAUUUUGUGUGUCUCCUUGAGCCCCUCAUGACAGUAGCAGAAAAAUUCUCCACCACUUCGUAUUUUAGCUGCAUGUAGGCUUCCCAAGAGAUAGAAGAGAAGUUCACUUGGGGGCCCUGCAGGCCCUUAUACCCAAGCAAGUUCAAGGCUUCCUCCCUUUUAAUUUAUUAUAUAUUUUUUUUAAAAAGAAAAGAGAUAUAUAUUAUUACUCUCUAUUUUGCCACAUGGUAGGAAAGUCCCCACCUAAGUUUUUCUCUUUCGUGUUUAUCUCCUAGCAUGUAGGAUAUAUAUAUAUAUAUAUCAGUAGUGAAAAAAAUGCUCAUGUCCUCUAAACAAUUGUGCCAAAAAUUAACGGCUGGAAGAAGAAAGAGAGAGAUGGAUUUCUUGAGUUGUGUACUAUUAUGUCUUAUGGUUGCCUGGAUCGUAAUCCAAGCCCUCCAAUAUUCAUUUGCAAGAAGAAUUCCCACAAACCUUCCACCUGGACCAAAGCCAUUUCCUUUGAUUGGAAAUCUCCUAGAGCUUGGAAACAAACCCCACAUCUCUCUAACCAAGCUUUCAAAACGCUAUGGCCCCAUUAUGACUUUACAACUCGGCCAGAUAACAACAGUUAUAGUUUCUUCAUCCGCCGUAGCCAAACAAGUCCUCCGCACCCACGACCAAUUCUUCUGCAACCGAACUAUCCCAGAUGCAGUCCAAGCCUGCAAGCAUGCCAAGUAUGGCAUGCCCUGGCUGACGGUUUCCUCCACGUGGAGAAACCUCCGCAAAAUAUGCAACUCCCAUCUUUUCGCGGCCAAAGUUCUCGACGCCAAUCAGGCCAACCGUCACCUAAAAGUGCAGGAGCUCAUAGCUGACGUUAAGGAAAGCGUUGUGAAAGGUAAGGCGGUUGAAGUUGGAAGGGCUGCUUUCAAAACUACGCUCAAUUUGAUGUCACGGACUGUGUUCUCUGUGGAUUUAGCGGACCCGAACAGUGAGAGGGCUAGAGAGUUCAAGGAGUUGGUGUGGAGUAUUAUGGAGGAGGCUGGGAAGCCAAACUUGGCUGACUAUUUUCGUGUGCUUAAGAAGAUUGAUCCCAUGGGGAUACGGCGCCGUUUGGGCAAGCACUUCCAGAAGAUGAUUGAUCUUUUUGACCGCAUGAUCGUCCAAAGGUUAGAAUCAAGGAAGUCACGUGAUUAUGUCACCGGGAAUGAUAUGUUGGAUACUCUUAUAAACAUGAGCGAAGAGAAAAAUGAGGAUAUGGACAUGGCUGAAACUCAACAUUUGUUUCUGGUUAGUUGCUACUCUAGCUCUAUUAAUUAAUUGAUAAUUAAAUUGCUUAGAUAUUAUAAUGAUAACUUAUUAACGUAACUUAUUGCUAGAUUGUGUACCAUCUUAAUUGAUCAUUUUAAAAUUAUGACUAUGGUCACUUUUAUUUUUGUUGAGAUGGUAUAAGUACGUUAAUCCUACACUGAUCAAGGUUUUGUGUUCGAUCCCCUUAUAUUGCUUUUAUUAAACAAACUAUUAUAAUUUUUUUUCUCAUUAUAUGUCUAUGUGCGCAUAUUAAUUUGACUAAUUAACUUUUUGGUGAAUUAGGAUUUAUUUGGUGCGGGCACAGAAACAACUUCAGCCACAUUAGAAUGGGCAAUGGCUGAGCUAUUACGCAACCCUGAAAAGCUAUCAAAAGCUCAAGAGGAGUUGAAACAGGUCGUUGGCAAAGGAAAACCAGUGGAGGAAUCAGACAUCACUCGGCUCCCUUACUUACAAGCCAUAAUCAAAGAGACCUUCCGACUGCACCCAGUUGUCCCACUUCUUCUCCCUCGCAGAGCCCAAGCAGACAUAGAAAUCUGCGGUUACAUUGUACCAAAGGGUGCACAAGUGCUGGUCAACGCAUGGGCCAUCGGCAGAGACCCCAGCAUUUGGGACAACCCUACCUCAUUUAUCCCUGAAAGGUUUUUGGGAUUGGAUAUCGACGUUACUGGCCAGAACUUUGAGCUUAUUCCGUUUGGUGGUGGGAGGAGAAUAUGUCCUGGGUUGCCUUUGGCGAUGAGAAUGUUGAAUUUGAUGUUGGGUUCGCUUAUUAACUCGUUUGAUAAUUGGAAGCUUGAAGAUGGAGUUGUGCCAGAAAAAAUGACCAUGGAUGAGAAGUUCGGCCUCACUUUACAAAUGGCUCAUCCUGUGAUAGCUGUGCCCAUCAAGUAUUAGGAGAACCAAACCUAGCUAGCUAUGGUUUCUAUAAUAAAUAGAUUUAUGUUUUUAUUAGGGAGUUAUAAUAAUUAAUCCUGCUAAUGAUAGGAAAUGGUCAGUUGUCAGUUAUGUUGUUAUUAGGCCAUAACUCCAUAUUUAUGUGUAUGAUAAUGGCUUGUUCUAAUUGUAGAUUGUUCUCUACAUAUUUAUAUAUUUUAUAAUGAUCAUAUGAAUGACUAAGGAGAAAAUAGUUUCUAUAUGGAAUAUGGUAUCAGAGCUAAUGGCUAACGCCGAUUAGCGAUUCUCCAGUUGCCAACAUUGAGAGUUGUUGGCGCUCCUCACUCCUCACCCCUCACCCGUAAGGGUGUUUGUUUAUGUUUAGUGCUUUUUCCUCCCCUCUUCUCAAAGAUGAAUAUGUUUUUUUCUUUCCAUGUUAGAGAUUUUUUUUGUAUUGUUUCAUCCUCGGUUAUAUUAACUGCGGGCAUCGGCGGCUUCUUUCUUUUUGUUGUGCCUGAUAAAAUUGACCUUAGAUGGCUUCAUUUUCUUCAAAUCACCCCAGUUGCCUUUCCCAAUCUGUCUUGAUGAGAUUGGACAAAUAACUUUAAUGGACCAAUAUGCGCAACCCAUGUAGAAAGCCAUAUCUAUUAUAGGGUGGACUCCUAUCCUGGUGUAUGAUUUUUGUUUUGUAAAAUCACCCCAGUUGCCCUUCAAAAUGAUGGUAGAUUGACCUUGCGAAGGCUAUAUCUAAAGGAAAAGCAAACAGAGCCAUGCCACUAGAACACAGAUUUUUGUUUUGUAAAUUUUUUAUUAAGUUAUUCGGUGUUGAUUUUUCAAUUUAAAAAAUGUAUUUGGAAAUCUUGUUGGCUCAAUCACUUUUCUUUCUUUGUUUCUAAUCUUCUAGAUUUGGGAGGGCCUACUUCGGCAACGGGUGAGAAAUGGUGUUAGAAGGGGAUGGAAAAGUCGUUGAAAAAUUAGGUUGGUUUUAUUUAUAUAUUUUUUAUUUAUAGUGAAAUGAUGGAAAUGGAAGCAUGUGAUUUGAUUUAACGGAAAUUUUUAAAGGAGUUUGAUGUAGGUGGUAAAUAUUCCAACACCUUAAAUAAUUCAAGUGGUUACUAGAAAAAAUUAAAAAUUCAUGUAGUAAUCCCACACGCACCUAGAAGUUCGGAUGAUAUUUAUGUAAAUUCCCCAUUAAGGUAAAUAGAGAGCUUGUAAAAGCUUCCACUUCUAACAAAUAAGUCCGGACCCAAAUUGUUCUCGAAUGUCUUUGCCUAAGUUUGUCUCUUAGCUUAGAGGAUAUAUAUAAACAACUUAAAAGAGUUAGUCUUGAAAAGAUAUUUUCAUGCUUUCUCGAUAAGUCUCAACAAUCGUGCCAAAAAUUAAUUAAGAGUUAGGCGAGAGAUGGAUUUCUUGUGUUUGCAUGCAAAUGUGUCUUAUGGUUGCCUGGAUUUCUUGUGGGGAGCUGGGAGGAGAAAGGGAUGGAGAGAAAGAGAGGGGGUUUAUUUAUUUAUUUAUUAUAAAUAUUUUUUUAAUGUUAUUUUAUUUUUAUUAUAUAAUUAAUUUAUUAUUUUUUUAAAAAAACGGCGGGUCCUAUAGUGGACUCGUCAUCAAUUACACUAAACGGUCAACUUAACAGAAGGUUUAAAUUGGUCAAAUUUGAAAAUUAUCAAGUGUAAAUUGUUGAAAUUGAAACUCGAGAGCCUAUAUUGAGAAUGAUCCUAAAUCUUCAGGAAGUCUUUUGACGUUAGUCGUAAUAUAUAUUUGUAAUUCCAUGAGUGUUUCAUGUUGCAUGCUCCGCGGGUCCUUUUCAAAAAAAUAAGCCAUGUGAACAAGAGUGAAUUUAGCUGAAGACAUGUCAUGUCUUCUGUUCAUAGAAAAACAACAAAGAAACUUUCUUUCCACAAAUGCAUGAGUGUUUUGUCUCCAUGCGUCAGGCAUCUCAAUUUUUAAAAUUGAUUGGUAAUAAGAAUAUAUCUCAGAGCAUUCACAAUGGUAGCAUGUAAAAGAGGGUGUAUAUCAAAUUUACAUUUUCUGUCGCCGGAAUCAGCUCCAAUGGUCGUAUGUAAAUGCAUUCUCAGGCUGAGAUGUAAAAAAAGAUGGAAGUUUACAUCUUUUUUCACAUCCUAGAAGCGGGUUCCACGACUGAUAAAAGAGGAGAGAGGAGAAAGAAGAGCAGCAAAAUUUCUGGAAUUAUGUGCCCCACACUCGCGAAUACAACUUCAGUCGCCCAACAUAACUUAGUUUGGGCCCCACUUGUGGCUUAGUGCACUUGAUUUAAUGGCAUUUGAAUUGGUGCUCCAACAGAUAAAACAUCAUACGACUCUAAUUUUUUACAAACCCCAAAAUGAUUAAUCUAAAGGCCCAAACAAUUUCUAAACAAACCCCAAAACCAUCUAAUUGUCUAAAAUUGAUGCAAAAAAAGGCCUAAUUUUUUCUUCUUCUAAUUUUCUAUAUAUAAGCACAACCUUUGUUCACAAAAAUACCACUCUUUAUAACUUAUUCAAAUUUAAAUAUUUUUAGGUUUAUUUUUUUAGAAAAAUAAAUAAAUCUAACACACACAAAAUUAAUUUCAAAAUGUUAACACACACACAAAAAAUAACACAAAAUCGAAUUAACACAAGAAAACCAAAUAUACAUCUUUAUAUUUACAUCUUCCCCAUUGGAGCAAAAAUUACAUAUACAUCCCCCAGAGAUGUAAAGAGGAUGUAAAAGUGGUUUUACACCCCCAAAAAUACAACCCCCCACUGUGGAUGCUCUAACAAGGCAUGAGCUCCUACUGGGAAAAAAAAAUUCAAUAGGGCCAAUCAUUAGUUAUUUUGAAUUCUAGCUACCCAUUCUUUGACUCACCUGCAUAUAUAUAGGGGAAUGCUAGCAACCUUCUCUCUAAUCUUCUCUUUUGGACUUUCUCCCUUUUUCUUAUGACAUGUGUCACUUUCUUUACACUAAAAACAAUGUAAUUAAUGCAUCAAAUAAGAUAACAUUUGUUUCCAAAUUUGCCCUUAUUUUUUGUAUUGAUUUUAAUGUUUCCUUAAAUUUAUUAUCCAAAUUUGUUACAACUUUCUUAUCACCUUGUUAAAAAAUUAAAUAAGAAAAAAUAUUAGUUUUUUUUUUUCCUUUUUUGAAAGACUCCAACAAAUAAGACUUACCUAAUUAAUGGUUUAGAAAAAAAUAUUACCGAAUUAAUGGUUUGAAAAUGCAAUCAAUGAACUUCCUUUUAAAACAGACUUCCUUAGAAGGACGACUUUUGUCCGUAUGAAAAAAAAGAUAUAUCUUUUGUGGAUUUUUUUAAGGUCAUUAUUGUGUUUAAAAAAAAAAGUUUUUCCUCUAAAAAAAAUAGACAUUUUCUUUUUUAAAAAACAGAAUUUUUUAAUAUUUUAAUAUUUUUUACAUAUGGUAAGAGAGUUGCAAAAAAAAAAUUGGAUAAAUUGAAGGACAAUACAUUUAAUAAGGGUAAACUUGAAAAACAAAAGGCGGUUUGUUCGAUGUAUUAAUGUCAUUAUUUUAAGUGUAUGGGAAGUGACACAUGUCAUGAGGAAAAGGAAGAAGGUCCAAAAGAGAAGGUUGGAGAGAAGGUUACUAGCAUUCCGCAUCAUUCAAUGAAACAAACUCUAACAGUUAGUUCUUUCUCAUGUGAAAUUUUUUACAUUUCUCACUUCUUCACAUGCACACUGCCUUUUCUUAAUUGGUCUGUCAAUUUUCUAUUAUGUAUGAACUUAUUAAUGUGUAUGAGUUCCUAUCGUGUAUUGGGGGAACAAACAAAAAGGAAGACAGAUUAGUCAAUGAAAUAAUAUAUGGAAUUUCCAUUCUUUCUUUAUGUAAUUUUCAUAUUAAAUGACGAAGAAAAUUCUAGAGGAAGACAGAUUAGUCAAUGAAAUCAUGUAUGGAAUUUUCGUUCUUUCUUUAUGUGAUUUUCAUAUUAAACGACGAAGAAAAUUCUAGAGGAAGACAGAUUAGUCAAUGAAAUAAAUUAUGGAAUUUCCGCUCUUUCUUUAUAUAAUUUUCAUAUUAAAUGACGAAGAAAAUUCUAGAGGAAGACCGAUUAGUCAAUGAAAUAAUGUAUGAAAUUUUUGCUCUAGGAAGACAAAUUAGUCAAUGAAAUAAUGUAUGCAAUUUCCUCUCUUUCUUUAUGUAAUUUUCAUAUUAAAUGACGAAGAAAAUUCUAAAGGUAGACUUAUCAGAAAAGGAUAUACAUUUGCUCAUAAAUGAAAAAGUAAAAUACAUGUCCUCCUCCUUUGUUCUGGAGAAUGGGACAAAAGUGGGUGGUUAUAAGACUUUGAGGAAGGCUUUUACCAAUCAAUCAAUGAAGACUAGAGGAAGACUUAAAUACCAACGAAUGGCUCCUUUUUUGGUUAGGGGAACGUGUGUGUGGGUGUUAAAAUUCAUUGGAGAAAGACUAGAGGACUAUACCACAUCAUGUGGUAGAUAAUGUGUCAAUUUGCAAAUAGCUUUAGUAGCAAGUGGACUAUACUAGCCACCUACAACUUUAAGCCUGAUCAUUCAGAUAAUGCUUGUAUCUUCUGUUUUACUGCGGUUGCUAGCACAAAGAAAGCCGAUGCUUUCGUUGCCUCUUCUACCUCCACGCGGCAUUGCUCUGUCGGGCUUUCUCCUAUUGCAGAUAAUUCCCCACUACUGCCUUCGGUAGGAGUAUGGGCUGUGUCUCAAUUAGUGUGGUUGAUCUUCCGAAUUGCCUUAGUUAGCUUUGCCUUACCAACUACCUAAUUAGACACAAGGCCUCUCCUCGGAGAGAAAGUUACUAGCAGAACUGUAUAAAACUUUUAACAGUUGUCACAUAUGAUUAGGUGUGUUAAACCCCUUUCAACCUUAACUCUAGAAUUACACAGAGUAACAAGUAUUAUUUAUUGAAUUAUCGAAACAGUACAAUAUUCUCAACAACUCAUUCUUGAUACAAUAAUUGCCUAAUAUAGCUGUAAGCUCUCAUUAACCAAUUAUGUUAGAAACUAAUAGUCCUGAUCUCUUGGACCAUAGGGGUCCAAGAAAUUUGUGGUCACUCACCGUUGGAUGUAAAUUCAACGGUUCACUCACUCUUGCACUCAUUUUAAUAAACUUUUUUAUACCAUUAGAUUAAUAUCCAACGGUGGGUGACCACAAUCUCUUGGACUCCUGUGGUCCAAGAGAUCGGGACUGUAGAAACUAAUUUCUUAACUAAUCAAUUAAUAAACUGACUAUGCCAGGUCAUCACUAAUCCAGCUCAACAAUGAUGAAGGUUCCUAACAAUGUGAUCAGCAGAUGUGACAUAGUGUUAUUGAUUAAAAUAUAGCCAUCCCUACCACCUCAUGUAAAUCCCACAAGACUCCCAUUCAAGGAGGGAAAGAAAGUAGGGGGAAUGCUAGCAACCUUCUCUCCAACCUUCUCCCUUUUUCUCAUGACAUGUGGAUUUUUUUAAGGUCAUUACUGUGUUUUUUUUAUAACAAAAAAAAAAAAAAAACGUUUUCCUCUAUAAAAAAAAAAAAAGAAGACAUUUUCUUCAAAAAAAAAAAUUUUUUGUUUAAAAUUUUUCACAUAUGGUAAGAGAGUUGUAAGAAAAAUUGGAUAAAUUGAAGGACAAUACAUUUAAUAUGGGUAAACUUGGAAAACAAAAGAUGGUUUGUUUGAUGUAUUAAUGUCAUUAUUUUAAGUGUAUGAGAAGUGACACAAUGUCGUGAGAAAAAAGAAGAAGGUCCAAAAGAGAAGAUUUAAGAGAAGAUUACUAGCAUUCCUCAUAUAUAUAUAUGUACUUUUUUUGAUGAGAAAAGUCCCUUCGAGUGGACAGGAAAUUGUACUUUUUUUGUCUUUUCGCAUUUUUCUUUUCAUGUUCAAGUAGUUUUGGACCAUCCUCUUUCAAAGCAGACAUGUGCAGUUGCAAAAGACCAUCGUGCAUGUUUAUGGGAAAAAACAAAACCUCUAGCCCACUUGGCUAAAAAUUAUUGUAUGUAUGUCAUUUACCUUCUUUUUUUUUUUUUUUCCUGCAUGUCAUCUACUAUUUUACGUGAUAUGUGCAUCUGUGAGAAUGAUAGCUCUCAAACGCUAGGCACCACGAGUGAUAAAUUAUUUUGAUUAUAGAAUUUAUAGUUAAAUGAUUUUAACUAUGUGGAAUUUUUUAGACCAAAACUCGAUUUAUUCAAAUUAUAAUAGUUAAGUUUAACAACUUUUGUGCAAUUAGAACCAGAGAGAGAAUGGAUUUCUUGAGUUUUUGUAUCAUCAUGCUAAACCUUUUCUUUGUGUUGUUGUUCUCAAUUAUUCAAGCUCUGCAAAGCAAAGCCAAUCCCAAAAGGCAUCUUCUCCCACCUGGACCAAAGCCAUUUCCCUUUAUUGGCAAUCUUCUAGAGCUUGGCAACAAACCCCAUCUGUCUCUCACCAAGCUUUCUCAAAUCGGCCAAUAUUCAUAUUGGGGAUUCCCCAUCCCCACCUUCAAUGGGGAAUGGGUUCCCCAUCUAGCCCCACCUUUUGAGAUUGGCCUUGCUUUGCAGAGCUUGAAUAAUUGAGAACAACAACGCAAAGAAAGAUGACACUAGGUAUGUCAGAGGUCGUAUACUCAAGAAAGAUGGCACCAGGUAUGAUUUUACGUAUUUCAGAUUGUGUGAAAGAUUUUGAACAUGUAUGUUAAAGAAAUCUAACAGUUGGUAUUAGAGCCAGGUUGUUUGCACAAACUAAAAUCGUUUUUCAAGCAUGCCUAUUACGAUUUCUUAUAUGUUUAUGCCAUGAUGAGUUUUUGGUGAUGUUCAAAAUUUGAAGAUGGAUUAAACAUAUUUUCUAAAUAUCAAGAAUAUUAAAGAAUCUGGAAAAGCAUGUUUUAAUUUGAUUUUCAUAUCUUCAAAACUUUAAACCCAUUUUUGACCUACCCGAUGACCUUAAAACCCCAAAAAUGACCAUAUGUAAUAGCACAGCUGUGAGUUGUGUUAAUUAGGUCAUUCCCUAUUCAGAAAGGUAUUUUGUGUAAGAUCCCACAUCAACCAACGGAGAGGGGGUGAUGUGCCUUAUAUGUGCACACCCGCAUCCAUCUAGCACGAGACCUUUUGGGAGCUCACUGGCUUCAGAGUCGCAGGAACUCCGAAGUUAAGCGAGUUAGGAGAUAGAGUAAUUCCAUGAUGGGUGACCCACUGAGAAGUUGCUCGUGAGCUCCCAGAAACAAAACCGUGCCGGCAGAGAGGGGGGCCCAAAGCUGACAAUAUCGUGCUACGGCGGAGCCGAUCCCGGGAUGUGACAAUUUGGUAUCAGAGCCACUCUGCCGUGUGGUACGAGUGUGCCAACAAGGACGUCGGGCCCUUAAAGGGGGUGGAUUGUAAGAUCCCACAUCAACCAACAGAGAGGGGGUGAUGUGCCUUAUAUGUGCACACCCGCAUCCCUCUAGCACGAGGCCUUUUGGGAGCUCACUGGCUUCGGAGUCGUAGGAACUCCGAAGUUAAGCGAGUUGGGGGCUAGAGCAAUUCCAGGAUGGGUGACCCACUGGGAAGUUACUCGUGAGCUCCCAGAAACAAAACCGUGCGAGCAGAGAGGGGGGCCCAAAGCGGACAAUAUCGUGCUACGGCGGAGCCGAUCCCGGAAUGUGACAGAAACAAAUCCUUAGCACAUGAGUUUGUUGUAUUAUUAGAUACUAAUCAUCCGGCACACAUACUAUGCAUGAGUAGAGAAUAAAUAUCCCUCAUUACAUUAACUUUUUAGUUGUGGGUCAAAUCCAGAUCUUCCGUUUUCUUCUCUACUCUAUAUAUAUAUAUAUUUUUUUUUUUUGCCAAAAUUAGGAAGGAGAAAAUGUUUGCUCACACACACACUACAUAUCAAGGUGGUACGGAAAAUAUAACCUGAGACCACUAUUCUACACAUCAUUGCCCAUUUUCAUUGGGCUAAACUUCAUUGAUCAUUGUCCUAUGGAGCAACUUCAACUGGUAGUGCAGGGGCAAUUUGGUCCAUAAAUAAUAAUAAAAACCAGUAAUUUUAUUUUUAUUUUUAAAAGUUUAACUUUCAAAAUACAAAUAUAAUUUUUUUAAUCCUUUUAAAAGUAAACAAUACAAUUUAUAUACAUACAUAUAUAUAUAUAUAUAUAAUCAUUCCUUUCUCACUCUUGUCUUUCACAAAGUCCCAGAUUCAUCUUCAAGUUGGAAUCUAGGCAAGCACUUCGUCGUUAACCAUCACCACCACUUCUAGGUAUUCGUGCUACAACAACCAUCACAGUCACUUCAUCAGCUGCGGUCUUACCUUUUGAAGGCCCUAGGUCUUACAGCAAAGGUGGAAUAGGUUGAUAGUACUGAUGUUCUUGAGGGCAUGCUUGUUAGAGAAAACAUAUUCAAAUGUAAAGAAUUGUAAUGAAAAGGAGGCUCUUUUUGUGAUUGUUGGCUUGUUGAGUUGAGUUGGAAAUUCAAGUGAAGGGAUUUUAUAGGACAAAAAAUGGGAUAUUUAGGCCCCGUUCGGUUAAGUUUUAAGGGGUUGUUUUCAUUUUCAGAGAACAAAAAUGAGGUAAGAACAUGUUCGAUGGCCCAAAAGCAGAAAACACUGAGAAUGUUUUCAUAAAAUGAAAACAAGUUCACGUGUACUUGUAGAAAACAGAAAAAAGAUGUUUUUAUUCUCACGGGAAACGCUCAAAAUAGGGGGAAGAGAGAGAGAGAGAGAGAGAGAGAGGGUUGCGACCUUCAACUGCAUCAAUUAAGAUAAGGGGAAGAUAGAGGGAGGAGAGGGCUAUCUUUUUCAAGUGGUGGCGCAGCUUAAGGUGACCGGAAUUGGCACUGACGAUGGUGACAGCUACUGGGCAGUUUUCCAGUCAAAAUCUAGCACUAUCUUGAGCCUCGAUUGAUGGGUGGGUUAGGUAGAGGAGGAAGAGAGGAGGAGUUUAAUGGUGAUGGCACCAGUUGACGUGACUGGACGACGAAGAAUCGCCGGUCUGAAAGUGAGAUAGAGCGCAGGGAGAGAGAGAGAGAGAGAGAGAGAGAGAGAGAGAGAGAGAGAGUUAGGGUGAGGGAGGGAAGAGGAAGAAAGAAAGGAGGAGGAGAAAACAGAAAAAGAAAGGGAAAAAAUUGAAAAAAUAAAAAAUAAAAGAAAUAAAUAUAGUUUUUAUUUAAAAAUAAUAAUAUAAUGUUAAAUUAUACAUUUAAAAAAAAUCUUUUUAGAACAUAAAUUAGCAAAAAUACACUUGAAAAAUAACUCAUAUGUUAUUAUUUUCAAAUUGUACUACAAGACACAUUUUCAUUAUUUUUAUUUUCUGAAGAUGUUUUCUAAUUAAUCUACCAUACGCAUUUUCAAUUCCUGAAAAUGCAAAUUCGUUUUCUUAUUUUCAUCCUCUAAAAAUAUUUUGUCAAAACAUUCUCCAAAAAUGUUAUCGAAUGGGCCCUAGCUUCCACUUCAAGCUGUUUGAGUAGAUAUACUAAAGUUGAUGCUUAAAAUAUUAGGCUUUCCCCAAACUUUUGAAACCUGGUCAAUGUUCGGAUGAGAGGCAAGCUUCUGAAGCAAUUUUCAAAAGGAAUUUAGGUAUUUUAUUUAUGACAAAAAGUCAAUUUUUUUGAUUCCUAUGGUUUAUUAUUUUUACUAUUAAGGUCCUUAUUUUUAAAAUUUGAUAAUUUUUGUUCUUGUGGUUUCAAUUUGAAGCAAUUUAAGGACAAUCCUCAAUUUGUGUCAAAUUUUUUUUUUUUAAAAAAAAAAAACUUCAACUAGUUUGGGAACGUUGGGAAAUGAGGUUUGGUUACUCAUGUUUGGUUACUGCAGUAAUUAGGAAUGAAAAGUUAUCAAGGUAUGAAAUUCCCCAUACAUUGGAAGUCCAUAUCCAUGAGUCCAUAAUUACAUUCCCAAGUAUCACUACUACGUUUUAAUAUUUGUGCAACGAACAAGAAUUCGUCGUGCAAAAUGCACUACGGCGACGGAAAAAAUUAGGGAGAUUCACUAUUAUACCCAAUACAUGGGCCCAAAUUAUAAAAAUACCAUAUAUGAAAUGGACUUUAGAAACACACCCAAAGCCUGUUUACAACAUAACAAAGAGGCUUUAACUUCUUAUAAAUUGCAAAACUGCCAUCAAUUUCUUAAAACAAGCCCAACCCGAAAAUCUCAUAAAAAUACCCAAAAUACUCAAUAGGGCAUCAAAGUAAUUUAAUAAUUAAUAUUAAAUUCAAUAAGGCCAGCUGUCAUUUUUUGGGUUUGUUUAUAGAAAUUCAAUAGUGUAGGGUUUAUUUAUAAUAUUAGUGCUAAGAAUGGGUAUAUCACUAAAUAUCUCAAAAAAUUAAUCGUCAUGUAAACCACUGAAAACUGGAGCGUCCAAAAUUUCCGUCGCGCAAAAAGUCUUAGUGCAACAGAAAACUUAUGCGUCGCUCAAAGUGAGGAAGAAAAACGCGCAAAAGAAACUUAGCCCGACGACAUGAUUUAUCGUUGCAUAAGAAAAAAGUGGGAUUUUUUUUUGGCCCAAAAAUACUUGUAUGGGAUUUUUUUUAGCGCCAAACCCUUGCGCGACGGAAAUAUAGUUUGUCACGUAAAGUUUAAUGUCGGUACAUUCUUGUGUGACAGAAAUUGGCUUUCACGUGACGGCGGUUUGCUUUUGGGCGAUGAAAGUUUGUGCGAUGAAUCAAAUUUUGCGUCGCGCAAAAGUGUGAUGUCGACACGUGCUUGAGCGGCGAAUAAGUUAUUUUGUGCGACGAAAAAGUGAUUUUGUGCGACGGAAUUUUUUUUUUUUUGCAAAUGCAGUUUGCGCAACGAAAUCAUGGGUCCGUCGUGCAAAGUCCUUCUUCUUUAUAUCUGUAUUCUACCAUUGCAGAGGCAUAAUGCAAAAAAAAAAAAAAAACAUUUUGCCUCUCUCUGCCGCUGCCUCUGCUGGGAAUUCAGUACGUUCAUUGGGUAAGUAAUUUUUGUCGUUAGUUUAAAAGUAUUAAUGUAAAUUCAUACUAACACUAUUAAUUUUGUUCUCGUUAGGGAUAUUUGUAAUUAGCGUUUGGUAGAGAACGAUUGAGAAGAUAUUUUAUUCGUUUUAUAUAUUUAAAAUGUUAAAUUAAUUACAUUAUAUUAAACUUACUUUGUGAAGUUAUAUUUAUAUUAUGGUAUUAAAUUGUGAGUGACGUAGCACAAUGUGUUGUGAUGUACGAAGUUAAUUGAAAUGAACUUCGUACUUUUAUUUUUAUUUUUAGUAACACUUAGUUUCCCGUUUGAUAUUAGUUGGAUUUCGUGCAUGGAUGCGUAAAGCAUGACUGCGGUCCAAUUAAUUCUUGAAUUGUCCCAUUAUUUGGAUAGUUUGGGAAUGCAUAGUUAUGUCACGUAAUGUACGGCUACAUGAUUAAAUUUUGAUUGUGGAGAUUUUGGUGUUAUCUCUGUACGUUCUUCAAGUGGUACAUAGGUAUUUAUACCUACAGUACACCUCAAGAACUGUAUCGAGAUGCUGUCGAAAUUCAUCCGCGUCGAAAUCUAAUCUCAUGUAGUCGUACAUUACGUGACAUGACUAUGCAUUCCUGAAUGGGAUAGGGCCCUUACCGGAGGCAUAAGGUGACAAUAUGGCUUCGUAUGAAGUUGUUGUGAUUGUUGUGUUGUGAUUGUGGUUUCAGGAAUUGUGAGCAGGAGGUGGAUACAUAACCCGAAUAGAUACACAGACGAAUACUUGGAUGAAAUUGAGGAUUUUAUUGAGUUUGCACGUACACACAACCCGGGUGCAACUAGAAUCCGUUAUCAUUGUAGGAGGAGUAAUAACACGUUGUGGGAGACAAUUGAAAAUGUUGGAUUUCAUUUAGUAAGGAGUGGAAUGAUUGAGACAUAUAACAUUUGGAACCUUCACGGGGAACAAUUAGACCAUGCUUCGUUUUCAAAUGCCACAAGAGUGGACCAUGUUGAACCUAUUAUGGAUCCUAAUGAAGAAGUCAUGGAUCUUAUACACGAUGCUUUUCCAUUUGCAUCGACCAACAUCAAUUAGGAAGGGGAAGAUGACGUGCCUACACCAAUGGACAAUGCAGAGUUUGAACAAUAUAAAAAAUUGUUAAAAAAUGCCAAAAGAGUUAUACUCGGGGUGCGAGAGCUUUUCCGUUCUCACGGCCAUUGUGGAGCUAAUGCAUGAAAAAAUAAAGUAUCGUAUGUCGAACUUGUGUUUCGAUUACUUUUUGGGGGUUUUCAAGAGAAUGCUUCUGACGGACAAUUGUUUGCUGAAAAACCAUAAACACGCACAUAAGGUAUUGAAUGGUCUUGGAUUGGGUUAUGAAAAAAUUCACACUUGCAAAAACAAUUGCAUGUUAUUCUACAAAGAGCAUGAAACAUUGGAUACAUGCCCUAUAUGCAAUGAGUCGAGGUUCAAAAUGACAUCUUAGAAUAGAACGACUAAGAUCCCACAAAAAGUCAUGCGUUAUCUGCCCCUGAAACCUAAGUUCAGCGAUUGUAUAUGUUGACGUAUACUGCCACAAACAUGAGAUGGCAUAAGGAAAAACGGGUAGACGACGAUGUGAUGCGGCAUCCUACAGAUGGGGAGGCAUGGAAAGAGUUCGAUUGAACGUUUCCCGAGUUUGCUGCUGAUCCUGAAAUGUUAGAUUGAGACUUGCCACUGACGGAUUCAAUCCGUAUGGGGUUCUAAACCAACACCACAGCACUUGGCCGAUUUUCGUAGUCACAUAUAAUUUGCCGCCUUGGAAAUGCAUGAAAAAAGAAUACAUGAUGAUGACUGUUUUGAUAACUGAGGAUCUUGGCAAGUCAAUCAAUGUUUACUUAAGGCCACUGGUUGAUGAGUUGAAUGAUUUAUGGACAAACGGUGUGCGCACGUACGAUAAAUCAAGUGGGAUGAUGUUCACUUUGCGGGCAGCAGUUAUGUGGACUGUGAAUGAUUUUCCCGCAUAUGUAAUGGUUUCUGGGUGGAGCAAAAAUGGUUAUAUGGCAUGUCUUGUAUGCACGGAAGAUGUAACUUCUGGUUGGCACGCUGGAAAGGUUUGUUACCUUGGUCAUCGGAGAUGGUUGCCAUGGGACCACGAGUGGCUGAAAAAAGAUAAAGAGUUUGACGGGAACACAUAGCGUCGCCUCAGACCUAGAGAAUUGUUCGGUGAUGAGAUCAUGGAACAGCUUAACAGUUUGGAUUUUGCUCCAUUCGAGAAAACAGUUAGUCGGACCAGACUAUGUUUUUUGAGCUUCCAUAUUGGUCGAAACUAAGAUUGAGGCACAAUCUAGAUGUGAUGCAUGUUGAGAAAAAUGUAUUUGACACAUUGGUGGGUACGAUUCUAGAUAUUGAGGGCAAGACAAAGGACACGAUCAAAGCUCGUCUUGAUUUGGAAAGAAUGGGCAUAUGAAGGGGUUUAUGGAUGAAUAGGGACAGUGAUAAAGGUUGAAGGGAUCUUGCAUUUUUUCUAGGAAACCUAAUGAUAAAAAGAGUUUCUAAAGUUUGUAUCAUCUGUAAAGUUUCUCGAUGGGUUGUAAUAUCGCACGUUGCGUGAGUGUUGACGGGGGUAAAUUUGCUGGACUAAAGAGCCAUGACUGCCAUGUGUUUAUGCAACGCCUACUUCCAGUGGGUAUUCGACACCUAUUGUCGAAAGAUGUAGUGAAGCCAAUCAUGUUGUUUUCCAAAUUUUUUUUCACAACUGACUGCAAAAACGUUGCGAAAGACAGACAUUUAUCAAUUGCACCAUGACAUUGUCCAAGUCCUAUGCAAGUUUGAGAUGAUAUUCCCUCCAGCUUUCUUCACAAGUAUGAUCCACAUAAUGGUUUACUUGCCAGAAGAGGCAUUGCUUGCUGGUCCUGUCAACUAUCGCUGGACGUAUCCAAUAGAAAGGUAUAUAAUCCUUAUCAUUUGUGUAUUCAUCAUUAUCACAUGCUUGCUAAUUUGUAUCAUAUCGUUUUAUUUUGGCAGGCUUCUAGGAGAGAUGAAAAAAAUGUACGCAACAAGGCGUAGCCCGAAUGAUCAAUUAUAGAGGCUUGGGUUCUAUAUGAGUCACUUACUUUCUGUGGAAUGUAUUUAAAAGACGUGGAGAUGGCUUUCAAUCGUCCCCAGCGCAAUAUUGACGGAGGUAUGAGAAAUGAAAAACUUUCUGUUUUUGCCCAAAGCACACGAAACUUUGGAGAUCCUUGAUGAGGAGAGUCAUUUUUCAAAAAUGACAUGGAGGUAUCGUAUUGGUUCAUACUGAACAAUUGUGAUGAGAUAAUGGCAUACUUAGAUGGGCAUGAAGAGAUGAUGAAGCGAGAACAUCCAUCACAUUUGUAUGCUCAAAAACACCAUGAAUUGUUUCCACAAUGGUUUUUGGAUUUUGUAAGUUAUAAGUGUUUUGUAUUUGACAAAUAUAUAUUGUAGUAUUUAAUUUUGUCAAACUAACAUGUGAAUGGUUUUGUAUAAUAUUAGGUGAAUAAGUUGAAAUCAUCGAAUUCCCCCACUUACAGUGAUGAGUUAUAUAACUUGGCGUUGGGCCCGAUUCGUGCUGAAUUGUUCUCGGGUUGUCAUGUUAACGACUUCAAGUUUUUGGGGAUUACAUGAGAUGACAAGUUGUGUACGUAAAACAGCGAUGUCCAUGUCCCAGGUGGAGGCGAAAGUACAGACACUGAUUUCUAUGGCAAACUCACAACUGUCGUGCAAUUGCUUUACAAAGACUGAUACCAAACGAUCAUGUUUAAGUAUCGAUGGUUUGAUACCAAUCCAAAUAGGCCGGGAAGUGUUAAAAUAGACAAUGGCUUACUAUUUGUGAACAUUAACAUAACAUGGUAUGAUGACGACCUUUACAUUUUGGCAAACAUGGCAAUACAGAUUGUGUAUCUAGAUGACCCUAAAGCCGGGAGUGGUUGGAAAGUUUUUCAGAAGAUGGAUCAUAGGAACAUGUAUGCUAUACCAGAACUAGCCUCAACUGACAACGACGUCGACAAUGUGGCUGACCAACAUUUAGAAUCUUCAAUGAAAAAUGAUGCGGAAAUACUUCGAGAUACAAAUGUUAUACAAGAACCGUUUUAGAUACAAUGGGUGUCUUGAAUCGAAAUACCGAUUCUGUCAAUUACAAUUGACCUCGGGGAUUUUCCGCGAUACGAUGUUGUAGUGGGCCCGAACAAUGACGAUCAUGUAAUUAUAGAGGAGGAGGAUUGAGAGACCGAAAGUGAUGAUAGCAACGAUAACGAAAGUUAUUAUAGUUCAAAUGAUGAAUAAUGAAUUUUUUUGUAAUUUUAUUAUGUUAGUGUACAAAUUUUGGCAAACCUAAUAUAUGUGGAGAAAUGAAACAUUGUUAAAUAAAUUGAGCUAUACAAGAAAAUGAGAAAUGAAAAUAAAUUUAGUUAUAAAACAUUGGUAAAUAAAUAUAUCCAAAACCUUUUCAUAAUAAUGUUGAAAAUUAUUUUUACAAAACAUUUUUAAAAAAAAAUGAAAAUGAGAUACAAUUUGACAUAAAUGUGUAUUAGGAGCCAAAACCUUGCGCGACGAAAUCUGCCAUGUCGCGCAUUGUUUGAGCGACGAAAAAUCACUCGUUGUGACUAUGUACCUUGCGCGACCAAAAGAUUUUUUUCGUCGCGUCAAGUUGCAAUUCCGUGCGACAACUUAAUCUUUCGUCAUGUAAAGACAUUUUGCGCCACGCUUUCAGUACUGAUCGCGCCAAUAUAUUUAUUUUAAUGUAAUAUAAUAUAUAUAUUUGAAAUUGAUGAUCGAAUUGAUUCAUUGUAUUCAUAUAGGGUCAAGGAGUGUAGCUGUAAAAAAUCAUCAAAAUCGGAGUUAAAAUAACUGAUAAAUCGUGAAUUUUCAUUUAUAACCGUCGAAAAGUUUUGUCCCGUCACUUGAUCUUUGAAUGUUUGUUUUUUCCGAUUUUUGGCGUAUAUGAUCUCGAAGUAUAAACAAACAAGUUUGAUGGUUGGAUCAUUGAAACUAGUUUUGUGGAAUGCAUAUGCCAUGAAAAUAAUAUAGUCACCAACAAUUAAGAGUUUAUUUAUACUUUCGUCAAAUAUAACGUAAGAUGUUGUGGCAUCCACUAGUGUAAAGAUCUUAAAUUAAAGAUCAAAUUCAGCCAUUGUAUUAAUAUAGGGUCAAGGAGUGUAGCUGCAAAAAAUCAUCAAAAUCGGAGUUAAAAUAAUCGUUAAAUCGUGAAUUUUCAUUUAUAACCGUCGAAAAGUUUUGUCCCAUUACUUAAUCUCUGAAUGUUUUUUUUUUUCGAUUUUUGGCGUAUAUGAUCUCGAAGUAUAAACAAACAAGUUUGACGGUUAGAUUAUUGAAACUAGAUACCAAUUAGAUACAUUUAUACAGAUACAGAAUAAACGGUUCCCGUAAAUAAAUAAACUUUGCGCAAUGAAAAAAAAAUUGGUCCCGAAAAACUUUGAGGGAUGGAAUCUUACGUCACGCAAAAGAUCUUUGAGCGAUGCAAAGACAGUGGGCGUCGCCAACAAACCUUUGAGCGACAACUGGGCAUCGUACGUCGCGUAGUGUUAAGAUUGUCGAGGGUUUAGGGUUCAGGGUUUAGGGUUUAGGGCUUAGGGUUGAUGAUUGCGCGACGAAUAAGAUGUUCAUGCGUUGCGUAAAAUGGGUCACACCUUUCACUUUUUCUCUCUGCCGCAAAGCUCUAAACCCCAAAUUUUGGUGAAUCACAACCUUGCUCGACGGAAGAACAGCCACUUUGUUGCGCAAAGUCUAUAAAAGAAAACCUUGCGCGACGCUUUUGUUUGUUCGUCGCUUAAUAUCGGCCAGGCCCUUCACCUUCUCUCUCUCCCGCUAAACCCUAAAUCCCCAAUUUUGGGGGAAUAACAACCUUGCACGAUGGAAUCUCAGCUAAUUCGUCACGCAAAGUCUAUAAAAGACAACUUUGCGGGACGCUACUGUGCUUUCGUCGAGAAAUAUCGGUUAGACCUUUCACUUUCUCUCACUCGCACUAAACCCUAAAUCCCAAAUUUUGGCAGAAUCACAACCUUGCACGAUGGAAUCUCAGCUAAUUUGUUGCGCAAAAUGGUCAGGCCCUAAACCCUAAACCCCAAAUUUUGAUGGCCACACAACCUUGCGAGACAGUUGCGUUUAUUCGUCGUGCAAUGUAUUGAAAAUUCUGGCGGAAAACAUACCUUGCGCGAUGCCUCAUGGUUUUUUUCGUCGCGCAAGUUCAAUUAAAAAUAUCUUGGGCUACACUUUCCUUUGUUCAUCACGCAAGAUCGAAUAAAUUUUCAGAAACAACACGACUGCCCAGACCCUUCUUCCUUAUUCCUAUUGUUUUGCCCUAACGCUUCUCUCCCUUCGCCGUCCACCGCCUCGCUGUCAGCCACUACUCCGCCGGAAAAAGGACUGGGCUGCCAUCACCUUCGAAGCCCACACCUUCCCUGCCGUCACCGCUACGUCUGCCAACGAUUUUCGCAGAUUAUUCUCCGGCCUUGUUCUCUCUCCUCCAGCCACCAAUUCCGACACCAAAGGUAUGAUUUCUAGACUAUUUUUCCUGCUUUAGCUUAUGGUUGGAUAGGAUUUGGUUAAUUGUUUAUUUUUGGUAUCUCUAAUUUAAACCCUAAGUUUGGCCGGUUUUUGAAUUUAAAUUCCGGCCACUUCCGAUCAUUUUUCGGGUUAGGUUCGAACAAAAGUGGCUCCAAUUGAAGUUUUGAACCUAGGGAGGAACCUUGGCCCUUAGUUUUUAGAAUUUUUCGGCGAUUGUUAUCGCUUUAGACACCCAUGCGCUGCCGGCGCGUGUGGUGCCGUGUGGGAUAACUGUAGCAGUGGGGCAUUGGGUCCCAGUGCAAUCCCCUAGUUGUUACGAGCGCGUAGGUGUGCUUGGAUUUGAAUUUGGUUACCAUUUGAGUCUCGAACGGAUUUCGCCUAUUGUGCAAUUUUUGAGUUUGAUAUGUUCGGACCGUUGGAUCGAACUCAAACUCACAUAUGUUGUACCUUGUAUUUCUAGGAUCGUGUAUGAGUCGACAGAUCAUGGAUCAGAGUCCCGGAUACUUCGAAAUCGCAAACACUAUGUCAUCUAUGCUUUUAAUUAAUUAGUUAAAAUGCUUAAUGAAAUUGUAUGUGCUUAUAAUUAAAUAUUCGUAAAUUUGAUUAAUUUGUAUGUGUAUUAAUGAAAUUUUGCAAAUGUCAAACCUGAUUAGAAGUCGUAAGGCAGAGACGAUUGCACAGAGUUCACCUGCCUCAGCUCAGUCGUCAUCUGCUGCCACUGCUCCAGCACUGAUGGACCACUUGCCAGUUGGUCCCGGGGGGUCCCAGGCCCCUACUUCGUCGGAUUCAUCAGUGGCACAGCCUGUUAGCGCCAAGUGGCGUCACCAGCCAGCUAGCACCACCGACACCACAUUGACCGACGCUACUAGUGCAUCGGGGUCAGCCAAGUAUAGAUUUCCUUCAACUACAGUUCUUUGUGUGUGUGUGUGUGUGUGUGUGUGUGUGUAUUUUAUAGUUAAAUUUGUUAUUUAUUUGACAUUAAUGUCAUAUUUCUUUGCAGCUAAGAAGAGCACCGGAGGGCCGUGUCGGCAGUUGAAGACGACGAAGGUCACUCGGGUGACCAACAGUCGUAUCAACAUCGGAUAUGACGAGCGACAUCGGGCUGCACCGACGGCGGAGUUGCAUAGCUCCUUGGCCCACGACAUUGGUCACGUCGUUCGGACCCAUUGCUCAAUGCAAUGGAAGUCUUAGAAGGCCAUGCCUGACGAGAUCAAGAUAGAGGUGCGUGGCCAGUUGUCGGUAUGUAGCCUACCUUUUAAUUCUUUUCCUUUCAAACUUUAUAUAUUUCUAUUACUUAAUAUAUGUUAUUAAUUUAUUGCAGACAAACUACAACUUAGAGGACCUCGACGACGAGUCGUUGGCGUAUGUCAACAGACUCUUCCCUGAGAGGUACAAGCAGUGGAAGAGCGACUUGCACCACCAUUUUGAGGCAUUUGAUGAUCCGCAAGUCGCUCUUCAGGAGGGUUGUCCGAAGGAGUUUGAGGGGCGGGAGGAUAGUUGGGCGUGGCUCUGUGCUCAUUUUCAAGCGCUCGAUUUUGUGGUAUUUUUUAAUAUUAAUUUCAAAAUUAUUACAUAUUUCUUACUAAUGUUUAUUUAAUUUUUUAUAUUUCAUUUCAAUUUCAACUAAUACGUUUUAUUUUUUGUAUAACAGAAUAAAGCCAAAGUCAAUAAGGGCGAUAGGAAAAAGAAGAGUCUUCUCCACCAUUCAGGUUCUAGGCCAUUCUCAUAUAGGAUGGAUGCAUGGCAGUGGGUAAUAAAAAAAUAGUUUAUAUUUAAUUUUUAAUAUGUCAUUAUUAUUAAUUUAUUUUUUUCGUACUAUUAUUUUUCUUCUCUUGUAAAAUUUCGGGAGGAGGUCCAAAUUCCCAGAGAUCGAUGUCUUUGGUGACGUUUAUGUUUGACCUGGGAAUGAGUUGGCCGAGUCCCUUCAUGUAAGUAUUAUUUAACUUUAAUUCUUAUGUUAUGCAUUCAAGUUUCAGGGUUAUUAUAUGAAUGUUUUAAUUUAUAUUUUAUGUUAUGUUAAACAGAUGACGAUGGUGGAGAGGAGCCAGUUGGUUCUUCAGGAAUCCUCCGCCCAACUUCCUCCCGAUACUCCGAUCGAGUUUAUGGAUCCUCCACGAGAUGCUGGGUUUCAGAUCUUGACGGAGACGUUGGAUCAGACUCUCAGGAGGAGGCCGGGGACAUAAUGUCGAGGGAUGGGGAAUGCCCGACGGAGGGAACCUAGACCCCGUUCAUCAAUGCAGUCAAACAUUCAGGUGACUGCUUUGACAGCAAAGGUGGCCGAGCUUCAGGGUCAGAUGUCAGUGAUUCUGUAGUCCCCCGCGUGGUCCGGCAUUCCAGUACAGCAAUUUGAUACGUCGACCUCCGAGCCCGUCCACCCCGAGCAUGCCCACUAGACCACUGCUCUUGUAGACCCGCAGACCUCCGAGCUGCAUAUGCCUGACGACCAAGUAGAUUUUGGAACAUUAUUUGAUUAGUUUUUUAUUUUCACAAUUAUAUUUUAAACCUUUCUCUUGUAGUAUACAUCUAUUUUAUUUUAUAUAAUUUUUUGUUCUCUUCAAUUCAUUUUUGUAUUGCAAUUUCAUUUUAUGACCAAAAAAAAAAAAACCAAAUUUAUUUUUUUACAAAAUUAAAAAAAACAUAAUAUUAAAUUUAAAUAAUAUAUAUAUUAAUUUUGCGCGACGAAAUAUUUUUCGUUGCGCAAAUUCACAUUUUAUAAAAUAAAAAAACGUAAAACUUCAUUUUAAAUACAUUUAGUUUAUUCUUGCGUGACGAAGUCAUUCAUCUUGCAAAAAGGAUAUGCGCUAUGACGAAAAUUUCAUCGCGCAAUAUUGUUCGUCGCGCAAAUGUUGGAGACACGAGUUGGGCGACGAAGGAAAGAUCGUCGCGCAACUGUUUGCGACUUGAAUCGCGCGACGAAUAUUUUCCUUCGCACAGUAUAUUCGCGACGAACAUGCUUUUGUCGGCCAAAGGUUUGUGCGACGAACAAUUGUGUUAUCCCUAAACAUUUUGUGCAAUAAAGGUUAACCGUCGCUCAGUUUUGUGCGACCAAUGCAAAAACUUGGUCACACAAAGUCUUUCCUCACUCUCUUUGCGCGACGGAUUGUGCGCGACGAAUUUUCUGUCGCACUGAAAAUUGUGCGACUAAAAGUAACUUUGCGCGACGAAAUCCUCUUCGCCGUGCAAAUCGUAAAAUGUAGUAGUGUAUGCAUUUAACAACAAAUGCAAUUUGAAACGAGUGUUGCUAAAUGAACUCUAAAAUUAACUGAGUAUACCCUAUGUACAUCCUAAUAUUUAAAUCAAACUGUAAAAUUAACUAAGUAUACCCUAUUUAGCUACCAAAAAUAUCAUUAGCAAACCCUUAUACACUCUAAAGCAUUAGUCGCCUCCUCCUUAAGCAUCCUUACAGGGAAAGCUCAACCGAAUUGAUGCACAAUCAACUGGGAACAAUGCAUGCUUGCCACCAACUCAUCUAAUUUCGGAUUCACACCAAGGUUUUGUUGCCACCCGAAUAAAUAGUCCGCGAGGUCCAGGGCCAUCCACUUAUGACUCAUGCUUAUCUAUUUUGGAAGCUGAAGACACCUGUCAUGCAUUUCCUUUUCAAAAGUCUAAAUGGUUGAAUAUUCUAUUGUAUUACCAACGUCAAAUAGUACCAUAUAUAUAUACAGCAAUAACCUUCUAUCAACCCUACUGUUAAGGCUUUGAAGACGUGAUCCAAUAUUAGUGGGAUUUGACCUACACUAAUUUGGGCAAGUAAAGAUAUUACAAAUAUUUACAAAGAUAUUUCCUAAUACUCCCCCUCAAGUUGGAGAGUGAAUAUCAUGAAGUCCCAACUUGUCGCGCAAUGUCACAAAUUGAUCCUUCCCCAAGGCCUUCGUAAAAAUAUCUGCCAUCUGGAAGCGUGUAGGUACAUACGAAGGACUAAUUAUUCCAGCUUGUAGUUUUUCUCGAACUAUGUGACAGGAUUAGCGGCAAUAUACAAAGCUGACUGAUUAUCACAAAACAAUGGUGCAGGAGCUAUCUGUGGGACUUUUAAAUCCUGUAGUAUAAAGCGUAACCAAGUUAGCUCCAAACAUGUGUUGGCCAUAGCUCGAUAUUCAGCUUCUGCUGAUGAUCUUGAAACAUUGGUUUGUUUCUUGGAUUUCCAUGAGAUGAGUGAAUUGCCAAGAAAAACACAGUAUCCUGUAACUGAUCUCCUUGUCGCACGACAACCUCCCCCAGUCUGAAUCACAAAAAGCUUUUAAUGUAAGAUUGUUGGUGGCAGAAAAUAACAAACGCUGACCUGGAGUCCCCUUGAGGUAUUUAAGGACCCGUAUGGCAGCAUCCUAAUGAGGUCUGCGAGGCUGAUGCAUGAAUUGACUUAGUGUUCAAACAAGAUAGACUAUAUCAGGCCUUGUGACAGUAAGGUAGAUCAAUCGGCCAACCAGUCUCCUGUAUUAUCAGUAAUUCUCAAUCUGUGGGAGUGAGUUUCAAAUUCUGUUCCAUUGGGAACUUGUCUAGGUGUGCGCCUAAAAGUCCUGAAUCCUGCAAAAUAUCAAGUGCGUACUUUCUUUGAGACAUGAAAAUACCUUUCUUGGAACGAGAGAAUUCAAUGCCUAGAAAAUAUUUUAAAUCUCCAAGAUCUUUGAUACGGAAGCGAUUGAGAAGGAACUUUUUGAGACGUUCCAUUUCUUGAAGAUUAUUUCCUGUGAGAAGCAUGUCAUCAACAUAGAUAAGAACUGCAGUAAAUGAAGUGCCUUCAGCUUUGGUAAAAAGAGAAUAAUUAGCUUUAGAUUGUUGAUAACCAGCCUUUUGAAUGGUAUCUGAAAAGGUGGAAAAUCAGUUUCUAGAAGUCUGUUUGAGACCAUAAAGAGACUUGUUGAGCCGACAUACAGCGUUCUCCCCCUGUUGGCGAAGACCAAGAGGAGGCUCCAUGUACACCACCUCAUGUAAAUCGCCAUGGAGAAAAGCAUUUUGAACGUCUAAUUGGUGGAUGAACUAAUGGCGGGCAGCAGCAACAGUAAGAAGACAACAGAGGGUAGUGAGUUUGGCUGUAGGGGAGAAAGUCUCCUGAUAAUCGAUGCCUUGAAUUUGAGUGUAGCCUUUAGCAACAAGCCGAGCCUUGUAGCACUCAAUGGUGCCAUCGGACUUGUAUUUGAUUUUGUAGGCCCAUUUGCAGCCGAUCAGUUUAUGACCAACAGACAGCGGAACCAAACUCCAAGUGUUAUUGUGCUAUAAAGCCUCUAGUUCUGCAAUCAUGGCUUGGCACCAAUGUGGAUCAAGAAUAGCCUGAGCAUAGGAUGUGGGUUCUGUGUGACCUGUAAUCUUAGCAAGAAAAGCACAAUGGGCAGAGGAUAAAUGAGAGUAGGUAAGGAAGUGGGAAAGGGGAUACCGAGUACCUAAUGCAGAACGAGGUGCUGAGGUUGAGUGAUUGACGUGGUUGGACAUGUGGUAGUCUGUAUGCCAUGCCGGAGGAUGUUUAUAGCGAGUGGACUAUCGAGGAGAGGGAAUGAGAGGAAUGGGAUUAUCUGUAUGUGGAGGGGUAGGGUCGACGGAUGGGGACAAAGGUGGGAUGGGAGAGGUGGGGUUGUCAAGCUAGUCAUAUGCGUCACAGAGGAUAGAGUGGUUAGGCACUUGUGGUGGGUUGGUUGGAGGGUUGGAGGAUUGACUAGUAGGUUGGGCGGAUCAAUUGGUGGGGUCCAACUGUUAAGAAAAUCAGAGGAAAGGUAGGGCUGAGGAGUAGGUGGGGUAAGGGAGGCCGAAAAUUGAGAGAAAGGGAAGGUAUUUUCACAGAAUCGGACAUCACGGCUUACAAAGAAUUUGUUUGUCUCCAAAUUGUAGAGUUUGUAACCCUUUUGGCCAAUAGGAUAUCCAACAGAGACACAACGUGUGGCACGGGGAUGAAAUUUAUGAAUAGGAUAGACAAUAGUUGCAUAACAGAGACAACCAAAGACUUUCAAGUGGUCGAGUGAUAGGGGACGGUUGUAUAACAAUUCAAAAGGUGAUUUACUGGAAAGUAAUGGUGAGGGUAAUCGGUUAAUAAGAUAGACAGUGGUUAAGACACAUUCACCCCAGAAAAUAAUGGGUAAGUGAGACUGAAAAAGUAAUGCAUAUGCGACAGUGAGAAUGUGGCGAUGCUUGCGUUCGACGACUCCAUUUUGUUGUGGAGUGUAAACACAAGUGCGCUGAUAUUCAAUGCCAUUAUUUUGAAAAAAAUCCCUCAUGGAGAAAAAUUCAGACUCGUUAUCUACCUGAAUGGUUUUAAUGUGGGCAUGGAAUUGAGAGUGGGCAAAAGAGACAAAAGAUUUGAGAAGGUUUUGGGUUUCAGAUUUAUGCUGCAUCAAAAAUAUCCAUGUGCACCUAGUAAAGUCAUCCACAAUGGUAAGAAAGAAACAUGCCCCUGAAUGUGUGGUAACUUUGUGUGGACCCCAAAUAUCACAAUGUAACAAAUCAAAAGGAGCUUUAAUUGAUAUUGAACUUAGAGGAAAUGGAAGUCUUGUUUGUUUGGCCAUGGGACAAACACUACAAUUAUUAUCAAAAGAAAUAGUAUUGGAAGGCAAUAAUGAAGAAGCUAAUCGAAGAAGAGCAGGGGAUGGGUGUCCAAGUUGCAUGUGCCAUAAAUCGGAUGAGAGUGAAACUUGAUAUGAGACAGGUGUCUUUUGCAAUGGAGACAUGUAAUAGAGACCACCACGCUGUUUACCCAAGCCAAUCAUCUUCCUCGUAGCCAAGUCCUGCAAGGCACAGAAGGUAGGAAACAAAAUGGCACAACAGUUUAGAGAAGUAGUGAGUUUGCUGGCAGACAUAAGAUUUAAGCGAAAAGAUGGAACACACAAAACUUUGUCUAAUGUGAUAUUUGAAUUGAAUGGUAUAGUGCCAGUGGAAGUGAUUGGGGCAUGAGAACCAGUAGGUAAAUUAACAAUGGGCAUUUGUGAUUAUUCAGUUUUAGUGAAAAGUCUGGGAUCAUAAGUGAUGUGAUCAGUAGCUCCACUAUCUAAAAUCCAAGGUUUAGUGAACACAGAAUUUAUGGAAGGAAUGGAAAAAGAAGCCAGACCUGCAGCAUUUGCAUAAGCAUUGCUAUUACCAGAGGAAUGAGUUGAACUCAUCAUAGAAACAGCAUGUGCUAGUUCUUGGAGUUGCUCUGCAGAAAACCCAUGUAAAGGGUUGGAUUGAGAGGCUGGCUGGGUUGGUGCACUGAAACCAUAUGAUUGGGCCUCAUGCGAUGGAGCUGUGUCUGCGGCGUGGGCAGUAGGAAAGGACCCACGUGAAUUGAUGUGCCCUCUAGACCCUUGACGUUGUUGCUUAGAUUGAUUAUGCCUAUUGCCUUGAAUUCCUGUGUCAUUGGGAACCCAUGCCCCAUUUUUAAAUUUACAUCUAUCCUCAGUGUGGCCUCUCCUAUCACAAUACUUGCAAUGGAAUUUAAGGGUCCGACAUUCUUCGAUUGUAUGACAGUUUCUAUCAGAGUGCUCACAGUGUUUGUUCGUCGAAUUAUUCGACAUAUUGUUUGAUCGGCUGUGAAUCGCAACGGCAAUGGAAAAAUUCUCUGUUGGUCCUGAUGUUAUUUGUUGCUGUGUUUCGUCUUGAACGACAAGUGAAUAGGCUUGGCGGACAUUAGGCAAUGGCGACAUCAUGAGGAUAUUCCCGCGAACACCGUUGUAGGUGUCGUUGAGGCCCAUAAGGAAUUGCAUCAUCCGAUCUUCUUCCUUUUGUGUAUUGUGUGCUUUCAUCUCGUUACAUGUGAGAGGUGUUUGAUAUGUUUCUAAUUCGUCCCAGAGAUCUUUGAGUUUCUUGUAAUAGUCUGAAACUGUCAUGGUGCCUUGUGAGAGAGAGGCGAUGGAUUUCUGUAUCUGAUAUAUGGUUGGGGCAUUCUUUUGUGAGAAUUGAUCUUUGAAAUCUUGCCACACUUGAUGGACAGUCUUGGCAUGAACAACUGCUUUGGCUAGAUCAGGUUCCACCGAAUGAGCAAGCCAUGAUAAAAUCAUACUGUUGCAUUGAUUCCAGAGAGCAUAUUCGGUUGGUUGUUUUGUUUCUACAGGAGGUUGAACGGAUCCGUUGACAAAGCCAACUUUGUUCUUGGCCGUGAGAGCAUGGAGCAUGGAUUUACUCCAAGAUGGGUAAUUGGUGCCAUUCAACUUUAUGGGAACGAGCAUGAGACCGGGGUGAUCUGAUUGAUGAACAAAAUAUGGGUGUGAUGAAUCCAUACCAGGAUUUUUGGUGUUGGUGCUUGAAUUUUUGGAAGUAUUGUCUUUGGUUUCUAGUGGUGUUUGAUCUGACAUGAUGUUUGAAGGUGGGUAGGAAGUAGAAGGGGUCAAGUACCAGGAUGAAGCUCUGAUACCAUCUAAAGAAAGUAAAUGGUUGAAUAUUCUGUUGUAUUACCAAUGUCAAAUAGUACAAUACAUAUAUACAACAAUAGCCUUCUAUCAACCCUACUGUUAAGGCUUUGAAGACGUGAUCCAAUAUUAGUGGGAUUUGACCUACACUAAUUUGGGCAAGUAAAGAUAUUACAAAUAUUUACAAAGAUAUUUCCUAAUAUCCUCGUCGGGAAAAGAUGUUCUGGGACUUGGUGGAAGUUGUAGUGGAGGUUUCAGACAGAAUGCUGCUUCCAAAGUAUUCAAGUUCCCUAAUGCAGCCAAGGUUUGCUGAAUUCUAUACAUAAUGAAUAUGUUGCUUAAAUCUGGAUUCAUAUUUCAAAAUCAAUUGGCUUAAUCAAUUGGAUUCAUACAAUAUAGAUAUGUUUUUUACCUUUUGAAAAACGUAGAUAUUUUUCACAUACGUUUGAUUGGGAAAUGGUGAGUAGGGUGUACUUGUUAAAAUUACAUUUGUUUUACAAUUCAACAUAUCUUUUUUGGUCAUUUUAUAUUAGGUUAAAUUAGUAAUUUAAUAAACAGUUUGGUAAUAAGGUGUACUUAGUUAAUUUUAGGGUUCGUUUAACAGCAUUCUUUGAAACCCAUUCUCAAGCUUCUAAACCUUGAACCAUGUGUGUGCCAUGGAUUUAAUUUAUUUUUCUCAUUCUAUCUAAGAUCAACUUUGAUAAUAUUUUUCUUUGUUUACUGAUGAACAAAAGUUAUACUUUGCAAGUGCACUAAUCGAUAUGAUAGUAUAGCAAGCAAACACGAGAGUUGUUCCCACAGAGAUUUGUAAAGUUUAUCAAUUAAUUUCAAAUAUGAUUACCUUAAGAAAAGUGAAAAAUAAAAACGAAAUAUUAAAAGUACUAAAGUAGCCGAAAAUAAGAUUACUCAAUUUUAAUCUAAGUGUUGAAAAUCAAGAAAAUAAAAUAACAAAGGUUGAAAAUUGGUUUUGAAAAUCAAUGGAUGAAAACUAGGAUUCCGACUUCACCGUAACAAUCCCAUUCUAUGUAUUGAGUCAAUUUUGAGAAUAAAGUUCCAAUUCAAUUCUAAGGGUUUGUUCUCUCUUUAAUAUGAUGAUUCGUUCGGCCCCGGUGUCACCAAAUAUCCUCAAUUAAACCCAACUAAUGAACCCUAUAGUCAAAUUUAAUCGAGAACCCAUUAAGUUUACGAAGGACAGUCAAGAACCAAGAAGUGUCUUAGCUUGAACCCCGUCUUUAACAACAACUCAUUCAUUCAUAGUGCAUAUAAGAUUAGGGAUGAACCCCUCACCCAAUCCUAUCUUAGACAAUCCAAAAUACUUAUAAUGGUCAAUUACAAGUGUCAAGAUCACAAUUACAAUAAUGAAUGAAACAAGGAAUGUGAAUUGAUUAAAAAUAAGAUGUUAACUCAAUAAUAUGGAAUCAUCAUGUUAGGUUACAUCGGAUCCCUAGCAAAGAAUUUAGUUACCCAUAGCCAUCUUAGGAACAAACAAUAUACUAAUGAAAAUAGAAUACAAAGUUUGAAUUAAGAUAGAAAAAUAUUUAGAUGAAUCCACUGCAGUUAAACUCUUCCUUUGGCAAAUCUUGAAGGCUAUGAACGGCCAAGAAAGUGAGUAUGUGAAUUGGGUGAUUGAGAUAUUGAACAAUAUGCUAGCGUUCUCCUAAAAAAUCUAGUCUAAAAGAUGUAUUUAUAGGCCCUAGGACUUUUCUCUAAUCAUACAAGGAUUAGGAAACUUUAAAAUCCCAAAAAUCAUAGGAAAACUAGCCAAAAAUGCCAAAAAUUAUGCGCUAGAUUUGCGCCGUCCGCUCGAGUGCCAAAACGUAGUUACAUAGUUCAUAGCUUGAACCACUCGUAUGAAAACUGAUGUAACUUCCUCUAGAAGACUCGAAAUCACGAACUGUAACUUCUCUAGAAACUAGACUUCCAGAGCUUUCCAACGAAAAUUGGCAAGUUAUCUAAUUCUUCCCGAGCACGUACAGGUAAAUCCUUAAAAUUGACCUAUGUGCACAAGCAGUUUCUUGACUUGCAAGUUGCUAAUUCCAAAUUUCUAUCUUCUUUACUCAUUUUCGCUAUAUUUUGCUUCUUUUAGUGCCAACUCAAGCCUAGGGACAAUUUCCUACAAAACUCACACUAAACACAUCAAAACAACCAAUUUUAUAGAAGAAACUAAUGCAAAUCAUAGGAACAAGGCAUGAGAAAAAAGCACAAAUAUGGAGUCCACAAUUAUAUUCCUAAGUAUGCAGUUACCAAACAUAGGAAUGCAAUUUGAAACCCAAUCUCAAGCUCCUAAACCUUGAACCAUGUGUGUGACAUGGAUUUAAUUUGGUUUUCUCAUUCUAUCUAAGAUCAAUUUUGAUACUAUUUUUCUUUGUUUACUCUUCCAAUAUUUUUACAUUGAUAGAAUUUGGGUUAUACUUACUUAAGAUACCAAAUUUGUAAUAUUGAAAUUUAAUAAUUAUAAUAAAUUCUCAAGUAUAUCAUAGAGUUAUUUAAAGUUGGCACUCCUUAAUAGAAUUCUCAAAUAUAUCAAAAAGUUAUUUAAAGUUCACACUCUUUAAUAGAAUUCCUAUCUCCACUGUUGACAAGAAACUUGGAGUCCACUGGAUUCAAGACCUCGAGCCUGUCUCGAGAAUAAGUUUUACACGCCCAUGUGUACCUAAAAGUCCAAUACCUUCGUGUUGGCCAAGUUGUGGGCCAAAUUCAAGUCACCAUACUCUUCUUUCUGAAAAGUUCUAAAGGGAGUUUAGGGUAUUUUUGAUAUAAAAAAAAUAAAAAGAAAAGGAGUUUUAUCGACAAGCAGUAUUGGAUCUAGUACGGAGCCAGUGAAGGCACUAGCCCCACUCAGUUUUGUCUACACCUAUGAAGUGUCAAAUUUACAUGAUAUUUUCUAUUGAAUGGGGACAAAUUAUUUAAUAAAAAUGCCUCAAAGAAGGCUAAAGCGAGGCAAUAAGAGCAUGUGCAGCACUUCGGUUUGGCCUGGGCAAAAGGCCCCCCUGCUAGCCUAAAGCAACUCCAGCGCUUCAGUUCUUGCAUUUUCAAUUUCAUUUUUUUUAAUAAAUUAAUUAAGGAAAAAUAAAAAAGAGGAAAAUCAUUACAUAUAGCUUCUUAAGUGAAUAAUGUUCGCAGUCGGUUCCAGUGAUGCGUUCCGUGUCUGAAAUAAUGGCACUAUUAUGUCCUCCGAAGGAAUAUACUCCCCCACAUCGUGAUCUGGUGGAACCGCCUCUGUCAAUGAUUGAGUCGUUCUUGUACUCCAUUGUGUCGGACUAUGAGGAUCGAGAAUAUUUUAAUUGUAUGAUGAGUGAGUAGGUAUUUCAAUUGUAUGAUGAGUGAGAUGUGAAUUUUAUAAUAAAUAUGGACACGUGGCAACCAAAAAUUUUAUCCGAAAAAUGUUAUCUGAAAUUUUAAGUGAGAAUUUUAUAAUAAAUAGUGACAAGUAACAACCGAAAAUAUUAUCUAAAAAGCUUAUCAAAAUUAAUGAUUUAAGUAUAAAAAAAUAGAAAAUAAAGUAAAAUAAAUAGUAUUUUCCCUUGCCCUUUGAAGUGGAACUAAAAAAGACAAGACUAACACUUUUCACAUAAAUAGUGUAUGUUCUUGCCUUACCUUUGCCUCGUCCUUGCCUUUUGAUAUGGAGGUGCUCUAAAGUGGCAAGUGAAUGGCUGAGAAGAGCUGCAUUAGGCCAAACUUUACAGGUUGUUGGUAGGCUCCAUUAGCCACUGCAUGCUAGGCCAUACUUUAGGACAAUUUCUGGAUCCACUAGUGCCUCCUAAACUGUACACCAAAACCAUUCUUUAUUAUAAAAUAGUUGACCUUUGCUCAGACGCCCAUACUAACAUGGCAGAAGUAAAACAAUUGAACUUGAACACUAGAGGUGCUUGUUUGAAUAUGAAUAGCCACCUGGCGGCUGUGGAGCUCUUUUACAAUUUUCGUCUUAUCUCUCUUCUAAUUAAACAUUAAAUUACUUGCUUUCGACCGAAAAAGGAAAAAAGAGAUUAUGUUGUAAUGAAAGUAAUGAAUCCCACGUAAAGGAAAAGAAGGAAGCUUAGUCAAAAGUUUAAUGAUGAUGUUAGAAGCUUAAUGAUAAUGUUGGGUAAUGAAGCCAUCCAAUUUGCCUAUAGACUUGCUCAUUCAAUUGUAGAACACACCAAAGGAGAAGAGAAGAGAAAGAAGAGAAAGUGAGAGGAAAGAAGAGAGAGUGAGAAAUCUGAGUGUCUUAAGUUCUGUAUGAGAAGAAAUUCUGUCAGUGUAAACACUAUAAAGAGCAAAUAUAAUUCUACUCCCAAUAUUCAAUAGUACUUCCUAUACUUUGCUUAUUUUAUUUUUAUAACACGUUAUCAGCAUGAUAGUUUCUCCUUUUUAUUUCUAAAUCUUUCCCAACUGAACACUAUGUGAUUAUUUCUCUGUCUCAUCUCUGUCAUAUGUCUCUUCUCACUUUACUACUACGACGACAUGCAAACUUUCUUUUUUGUGUUCUCACAAUUUUUAUGUUGUUUCAUCCAUGCUUGUUUAAUUUACUUCUUUGUAACGUAAUUUGGAAUGGUGUGGUUUUAUACCCCAUCCAGUUAUUUUAUGGUGGUGUAAUUUUUAUUAUCCAUCGCGUUGUAACACAAAUUAUCAUAAGAAAAUGAUGGUGUGAUCUUAAAACCCAUCUAUUAUAUCUUGAACGGUGGCAUAGUUAUAUUGCCCACAAUAUAUAAUAUGUUAUAUAUUUCAUAUGUAUUAGGUGGUGAUUUUAUCCCCACAUUUAUUUUAUUUACGGGUAUGGAGUAGGUUUACCCAUACGACAAUAUUUAUUUAAAAGUGUGGCACAGGUUUAUUGUCCACACAACUGUAUUUACUUUUCAUUUAAAAGUAUGGAGUAGAAUUAGUGCCCAUACCAGCACGUUUACUUUAUCGCACAUUUACUUUUACUUAAAGUAUGAUGUGGAAUUAACCCUCAUACUUUAUGAAUUUACUUUUCCUCACAUUUACUUCUAUUUAAAGUAUGAUGCUGAAUUAACGUCCUUACAACAACAAUUUACUUUAUGAAUUUACUUUACCGCACAUUUACUUUUAUUUAAAGUAUGGUGCAGAAUUAAUGUCCAUACAAUAAGCAAUUUACUUUACCGCACAUUUACUUUUAUUUAAAGUAUGGUGCGGAAUUAACGUCUAUACAAAGCAAUUUACUUUUAUUUAAAGUAUGGUGCAGAAUUAACGUUCAUACAACAAGGAAUUUACUUUAUGAAUUUACUUUACCGCACAUUUACUUUUAUUUAAAGUAUGGUACGGGUUUAUCGUCCAUACCUGCAAAUUUAUAGCACUUUAUUUUUAUUAUUAAUUAAUAUACAUGAAUAAAGAGGGCCUGAAGUUCCACAAAAAAAAUAUAGGGCCUGAAGUUUCUAUUAAUAAAUGGCUUAAUAUCCUAGAUCCCGAGCCUAAAGUUUUGGGUAAAAUAUGCAAGAUAUUUUUGGCCAGAAGUUCAAAAAUAUAUUAAGCCUGAAGUCCCGAAAUAUGUGCAGGAAAUUAUAAAAAUGUCCAUACUGUGAGAAUAUGUGAUUUUGGCUUGAAGUUCAAAGUCUAACAGUAUUGAGAACCUGAAGUUCCAACAAUCAAAUGGACAACCCUUAAGGCAUUAUUGCAAAUUGUGUUGCCCAUUCAUAUGGCUUGGGUCCAAGGGGCAAUCCAUCCACGAGUGGCAAAAAUGCAUCCUGGAAUAAGGGGAAAGCACAGACAAGCUAUAUGCCUAGAAAUGUUGAAGGCGCUUGUCAUAGAUAUGGUGCAAAGUAUAUUGGGCACGUACAUGCUGUACGCCGAAUCAUUUGGUGGAUCUUUAUCAAUCGUCACUUAAGAACAGGAAAGUGAAGACAAAUUACAUUGAUCAAGUUAUACCAGAUCUGCAAGCCACAGAUGACCCAUCGGAGUGUUUAUCAAUCUUCACUCAGACAUGACGCAUCUGAAUGUUUCCGAUUUUGCAAUUGAAAGAUGGAAUGAAGUUUAUGGGUCCGAAUUAGAUUAAAUUUCUUAAUGUGCCAUUUGUAUUAUCUGAAGUGUUGUUUUUUAAAUUUCCAUUUCAAUCCAAUAAAAGUGACAAUGUUUUCUAUACAUUGAAUAGAAUAAUUGUUUAUUGAUUCAGCUUAUUUUAUUUAUUUGAAGGGAUGGAUGUAAAUUAUGGAUGCCCUCAAAACGAAAGUUAUGGCAAAAAUAUUUGUCUUGCAGACAGCGCGACUACUCAUACGAUCCUUCGAGAUCAAAAGUAUUUCUCAAACUUGAUGCUUACAAAAGCAAAUGUAACAACUACAUCAGGUCCUACAGAUCUGAUUGAAGGCUCAGGAACGGCCCAAGUCAUGUUACCAAAUGGAACAACACUGUCCAUUCAAGAUGUUUUGUAUUAAUCUAACUCCAGAAGAAAUCUAUUGAGUUCCAAAGAUAUACAUUUGAAUGGCUACCAUGUUGAAACAAAGAAUGAGAAAAACAUGGAAUAUCUUUGCAUUACCUCCAGUGAUACCCAGAAGUGUCACUACUACAAAAAGUGAAAAAGACGACCAGAAAACAACGACGGUCUAAGUGAAAACCGUCGUGGUUUAUAAAAAGACGACGGUUCUAAAAACACCGUCGUGUAAUACAACCUUAGACAACUAAAAAAUGGAGUUUCAAAUGGCUGUUCAAAAACAACGACGUACAUAAUUAAACAACCGACGUCUAUUUGAAACAGAUUUCCUCAGUGUAAAAUCAAUGCCAACAAAGAACGGCAGAAGUUAUGAAUCGACCGACGUAGAAAGUAAAGACGACGAUUUCAAUAAAAACUGCCGUUUUUACUCAUAAAAUAACACGACGAGGUUUUCGUAUAAGACGCCGUAUAAUUACAAACAAAUCCACGGCUUUAAAAUACAAAAUAUCGCCGUAUUAAAUUAAUUUACAACGACGGAAAAUAUAAAUAUAUCGACGUCAUUCUCGUAUAGUUCUACUACGUUAUCUUUAAAUCGUACAAUAAAAUUUAUCGUCGUAUUUAUUCAUUUUAUACGUCGUACCUUUAAUUUUAACGGUCGUCUUAAUAAGAAUUUUUGUUAACAAUUUUUUUCUUUGAUUUUCUUAUCCUACGUCGGUAGAUCUACUUAAUGACAAGAAUUGAAAUAACCACGACGGUUUAUAUAGAACACCGCCGACAUAAUCAGUUUUGUCUGAGAUCCCAAGGGUUACGAAAUCUUACCAGAUGGAACUCUGUUCCACAUCAUAAUCUUAACAGAUGACACAGAUUUGCAAAUAUUGCGUCGUGUUAGUUUACAAAUUCUAGAACAUUAAUUUCCCUCAUUUUAAAUUUCCUCGGGAAAGAAAAAUCUAUUUAUCACGCUUUGGAAUUGAAAACUAAAACUGAAAGAAUACGGGAAAAAAAACUCCAUUUAUAAUUUAAAAUUAAAAUCCACGUCGGUUGUAGUACACUUAACGACGUUUAACAAAAUAAUCUACGUCGGUAAUUAUAAAUCUACCGCCAUCGUAACUUAAUAUAGACGACGAGAAAAGACGACGGUAGAACAGAAAACCGCCGUUGUUUCAGUUUCUUUAACAUAUCUUUCUGCAGGACUUGUGUAGUUCAAAGCAUUGACAAUGUCUUCAUCAUAUCUCCCAGAAACUACUGAUUCAAUUGCUCAUGCUUUAGAGGCCAUCUGAAGCCAUUUCUAUUCUUUAUCGCAUUCUUGAAACCCAUCUUCUUCUUCUGAAGCUCUACGGAUAAAGGAAGAGGCUAUCACAAUAAAUCCGACGGAUCUUCUUAGGCAAGAAAAUCAAGCAGAGGAUCAGGCACAUCUGAUCUUCAGAUUUCCCUGAGAAGCGAACUUUCCUUCGACAGCGAGUGGAGGCCAGGCUUGCAUCUCUUUUGAUGGAAAGCAAGGAGUAUUCAGAAGCACUAAGUGUCCUAUCAGGCUUGAUCAAGGAAGUGAGAAGGCUAGUUGACAAGCUUCUUCUUGUGGACAUAUAUUUGAUGCGAGUAAGCUCAAUUUCUCUUUGAGAAAACAUCCAAAUUAUUAUCUUUGAGACAUGAGAGACUGAGAGAGGAAGAACUUGGAACCUUAAAUGUAAACCGAAAAUGAAUGAAAGCGACAAAUUUAUAGAAUAAAUUUUUAAAACCAACGGCGGUCCUUACAAACAAACCGCCGUUUAAAUUGUAAAAUCAACGUCGGUAUGAUCGACGUAUAUUACAGAAAUCCACGUCGGUAAAUUAAUAAAAACGACGUGUUAAAUAAUAUACCAUGACGCGAGUUAUUACUUAUGUACUUUAAUUUUUGAGUUUACUACGACGGUACCUACAAACUACUGUCGUAUUUAUUUACCACGUCCGAAGUUAAAUGUACCGUCGUAUUUUGUAAUUUAUACGUCGUAGUUAUAUGUAACCGCCAUAUUAUUUUUUUGAAAUGGUUUUAUAUGUAAGCAACUUUUCGUCUACUUGACUUACACAUUUGUUGUUUUUAUAUUCUUAUUUUAUUUAAAUCUGUCAUCCAAAAAAGAAACUUUACAUAUUGCAGAAUAUUAAUUUCCUUCGUUUUAAAUUUCCUCCGGAAAAAAAACUCUAUUUAUAACGCACUGUAAUUGAAAAAUAAACUGAAAGGUCACGGGAAAAAAAAUUCUAUUCAUAAUUUAAAAAUUAAAAUCCACGUCGGUUAUAUUAAACCUAACGACGUUAAAUGAAAUGAUUCCACGUCGAAUGAAAAAUAUUGCGUCGUUUUAGUUAAAAACGACGUAGUUAAAUGUAACCGCCGUAUUAUUUUUUUGAAAUGGUUUUAUAUGUAAGCAACUUUUCGACUUACACAUGCACUGUUUCCAAACCCGAUUAAAAAUUUCAAUCUCCCAGAGAAACCUUUUCGUCUUUUUUCCUUGUCAGAGCAUUGUCAGAGUUUCUCAUCGUCUUCCUCUCGUCUUCUUCGUCGUCUCUGAACUUAAACAUCGAUCAUCUUCCUCUUGCUUUCAUUGCACGCAAAAGGUAAGCUUUCAUUUUCACUAUUUUGGUUACUGUUUUGCAUGCUCAUACGUUUUUUGUUUGAAAAAUCUUUUUACCUUUUUUCUGGCCAAAAUCAUUUUACUUCUUUCCAAGUUUGAUAAAAUAUACAGACAAAGAGAGAAAGUUUCCAACUUUGAAGACAACUACAUCAACUAAAUAAGACGACGGUAGACCACGACGGUUCGUCAGUUGUUCUAGCGUCGUCUGAAAAUUGACAAAGUUGUUUUUAAAAUAAUAGUCUUUUUUUAUAUGCUUGUUUAAUUGCAGGUUUGAUUUCGCUGAACAAUGGUUUUUGUUUUUCCCUUAUUUGAUAAAAUAUAAAGAAAAAGAAACUAGGGUUGGUAUCUAAUAUAGACGAUAAAAUAUAAAUAAUAGUUUACCACGACGGUGUAUUACUAUUGACGUCGUGUGAACAUAUAUACCACGACGUUAUAUAAAUAAUGGUUUUAAACAUUUAUUACGUCUGAGAUUAUUUCAUUGCGUCGUCUAAAAUCAUAUCAUACGUCGUAUUUUUUUAAUACCGUCGUUUGUGUUCUUAAUGUUUUCCUGAAAUAUUUUCACUUGCAGUUUUGUCUGUUAAAAUGGUUUCUCAACAACAAACUAAGGAUUCUGGCUCCAAGAAGCUUGGAAUGGUAGCUCCUCAAGAUAAGUCUUCGAAGGAGAUGAAGUCUUCGAAGAAGAUGAAGUUUGCUUCAUCAUCUGCUGAGACAGAACAAACCAGCCAGACAACAAUCUCAGAUGAUUCAAAGACUGGUCGAGGUAUGAGCACAAUGCCUCGUGUUGUGAAGAGAAAGCUUCAGAAACUGAGGCCAAUUGUUGAGUACAAUAAAAGGGGGAAAGGUGUUGGCCAAGCACAUAUUGAGAUGCAGUCGUAUAUUGGUGUGUUGGCACGCUCCAGGAUCCCACUUGUGGACAAGAAAUGGUCCCAAAUCCCCAAGGAUAUAAAGGAGCAGAUUUGGGAAGCAGUUGACAUGGCUUUUGUCGUAGGCCAAGGGGGCAAGACCUCUGUUUUAGCUUCUGCUUCCAAGAAAUGGAAGGAUUUCAAGUCUACACUAACGAGGCAUUAUAUCCUUCCAUACACCAAUGACAGGGAGAAAUUAAGCCAACCCCCUGAAACAUAUAAAUUCAUAGAGAAAGCACAAUGGGAUGCCUUUGUAGCUUCAAGGCUAUCCAAAGAUUUUGAGUCUGUGCAUUCUCAACAUGCACAGAUUAGGGAGAAACUCGAGUACAAUCAUCGAUUGUCUCGAAAAGGAUAUGCUGGAUUGGAGGAUCAAUUGGAGGAAACCAUGCCUGGGGUAGAAAUUGAUCGAUCUACCUUAUGGAAGAGAGCUAGACAGGACAAACAUGGUAACAUCCCUGAUCCAAAGGUGGCAGAGAAGGCAAAAUUAAUUGUAAGCCUACUCACUCUGUUUUAAAUUUUUAUUAAACUGUGAAUUAUUCUUAUUAUGUCGUAUGUUAUAUUUUUCGUCGUGUGAAUGAUAUUACCACGUCGAAAAGUUUUUAAAAACGUCGUUAAAGGUCUAAAUAGGAAUCACUACUAUGUUUUCUGUAAUUACAGCAUAAGACGUCGGUGGUUCAUUUUCGCGUCGUGUGAAUGAUAUUACCACGUCGAAAUUUUUUUAAAAACGUCGUUAACGGUCUAAAUAGGAAUCACUACUCUGUUAUCUUUAAUUAUAGCAUAAGACGUCGGUUGUUUAUUCAUUUCGUCGUUUUAAAUAAAUAACCACGUCGGUAUAACUACCGUCGUGAUAAGUUAUAAUAACGUCGGUUUAUACGUUAUUGCGUCGUGUGAAAUUAUAUAAUACGUCGUUUGUACAUAAAUAACCGUCGUGUGUUUUUUUGUUUAUCUUUGUUUUAGGAUGAAUUGCAGAAACAAGUCUCGGAAGGCAAAGUCAGAGUAGAUGGCAGCAAUGAUGUGCUGACCAUGGCUUUGGGCCCCGAGCAUCCAGGCAGGGUGAGGGGAGUUGGUGCUGGUGUUUCCCCAAGGCAAUAUUUCAAUUUGCCCAAACCACAGAGGGUGAGCUUUGACGACCGUUUGAAGGAGAGUUUAAGAGUUCUCCUUCAAGAAGAGACUAAAAAGAUGGAGGCUAAGGCAAGGGAAGAGGCCUUAAGGAUGGAGGCUAGGACAAAACAAUUGGUAGAGGCUGAGAGGGAGCAUUUCCUGAGUCAGCUUUCCCAAUUAAUUCCCAAUUUUGAUCCAAGCAUGCUUAAACCAAGAAUUAGCCAAAGCCCCAAAAAUCCAAUGUCUGACAAAGCUAGCUGCUCUGGAGGUGAUGUGAGAUCCCUACAUUUGGAGGAUGAUACUGCCAAAAUGGGGAAACAUCAGCCAGAUGAAGAGAAGGAAGAAGAAAAAAGAGAUGAAGAGAAGGAAGAAGAAAAGGAGAAAGAAGAUGAAGAAAAGCAUGACGACAAGGUAUGUUCACAUAACUUUGCCUUUUUUAUUUGUUUUUCAAAAUUUCAGACGUCGAUAUUUUUAUUUAAUCCGUCGUUUGUUUAAAACUUAGACGGCGGAAUUUUUUUAAGACGUAAUAAAAUAUUUAAACGACGGUUUUUGCACCGUCGUUUAAAUGGUUUCAGACGACGCUUUAUUCAUAAAACCGUCGUCUUUAUUGAAUUACCACGACAGUUUUUUCACCGUCGUUUAAAUACUUUUAAGACGACGUUUUAUUACUUAAACCGUCGUCUUUAUUGAAUUACCACGUCAUUUUUUUUAUUUCUUUAAACAGGUUAUUGAAGUUGGUGCUUAUUCAAAAAUGGAGGCGCCAUCUUCUUUAAAAACCCUUUGUCGUUUUGUGGAAACGACACUCCUGCCUGAGGAUAAGACAGUCCAAUUUACAAUUGAUAAGGAGGUGUUUGGUGGUGAGCGCGAUACCUUCCUCCUGCCUGAAGAUAUUACACAAUUUGCAGGCAUGGAAGAAAUUGGAGCUACUGUAUUGGCUGUAUAUAUGAGGUUUGUACUUCUAAAAUAAUAACUCGUUGGUUUAUAUAUUGCGUCGUCUUAACUAACUAACCACGUCGUCUUAACUAACAACCGUCGUGAUAAAUAUAUUAUAACGUCCUCAUCUAUUUCAGUACGUCGUGUGAAAUAUUAUAAUACGUCGUUUUUUUAUACAUAACCGUCGUGUUUUGUGUGCUGACUUGUUUAUAUUAUUUUAUUUGUUUAGGUACUUACACGAUGUUUUGAAAAAAGCCAAUAUGUGCAGUAUGGUUGGCUUUAUCGACCCUGCUACAGUUAGUGCCAACUCUGGCACAAUAACUGAAAGAUCACGACUCGUAGCAGCUCGACUUCAGAAGACAGACGGUGAACAGAUUUUCAUGAUGCCUUACAAUCCAGGGUUAGUCUCCUUAGGAUUUUGUUUUUAUGAUUUUCAAUAAAUGACAGCUUAUAAACUAACCACGUCGGUGUUUUAUUUUAUUUAGUCGUUUGAAACUACUAACCACGUCGGUAUUUAUUUAUCGUCGUGAUAAAUAUAUAAUGUCGUCGUUAGCUACUUUACUUCGUCGUGUGAAAUACUAUAAUACGUCGUUUUUGUAAAUAACCGUCGUUUUUAUAUUAAUUUUGUGCAGCCGUCAUUGGAUUUUGCUGAUUGUAAGAGCAAAGAGAGAAACCGUCUAUUUUCUGGAUCCUCUGCCAGGAAAUCGUGUGGUCGAUGAAGAGGCCAAAAACAUCGUGAACAGUGCUUUAAAAAUAUAUAAUACCCACAUAGCCCGAGCAGGACGUAAAAAUGUAAUUUGGAAAACUCUCUCAGGCACACCAAAGCAACCCAGCAAUGUCGAAUGCGGGUAUUAUGUAAUGCGCUUCAUGAGGGACAUCAUCAUGGAUCCUUCCUUGGGGUUUGAGAAUAAGGUAAGAAGAAAUUACCUUCAUACAUUUCACGUCGUUUUUUGUAUUAUCAACGACGGUCGUGUAAAAUUAACGUCGUUGAAUGGAUAUACUACGUCGGUUAUGAAAAAUAUCGUCGUCUGUGAUUGAAUUUCUUUUUAUUUAUAAACCCUAAUAGUCAUUGUUUAUGCAGUAUGCCAAGGGAAACCAGGAAGCUUCAUACCCCCAAGAAGCCAUUGAUGAAGUCCGGAAUGAAUGGGCAGAGUUUGUUUUCCAAAUUAUUAAACAGGGCAAUUAUUGAACACUUGAUAUUUAUGUAUAAUGUACCAAUUUUCUCUAUAAUAUGUAAUGUAAAAAUUUGUUGAGGUUUUCUUAAAUUAAAAAAAAAACAAACAUACAAAUUGCUUAACCGACGUGUAAUACUUUUCCAACGACCUAAUAAAGUCAAUAACCGUCGUAUUUUGUUGUUGCGUGUUUUAAACAAAUACGACGUAAAAAAAUAGUUAGACGACGUUCUUUGAACAAUUGAGUCGUUAAUGGUUUACAAUAUCUUCAAUUUCUUAAGGGUUCAGGGUAUAAUCGACGACGUUUAUGUAACGACUACGGUUAAGUCGUGGAAUAUAUAUUUUACGUCGUAUAGUUAAAUAGCCGCCAUGGUUUCUCAUUUUAACGACGUCAUUUUAACGACUUAGUAGUCUAUUACAAUUUACAACGUCUACAAUUUAUUUAACACCGACGUGGUUUGUUGUAUGGUAAGAAUAUUUUAUUAUUUUUAUAUCAAAAUAUUCAAAAUAAAUAUAAAAUAAAUCAGAAAAUUGAAAAGUCAACUCCUAUGAAGUCAUUGAUAUAUUUUCUUCCACAUAAACCUUGAAAAAAUUCAUUUUGAAUAACAAAAAUUUAAAAUGACCAUCCAAAACAAAAUUGUUUUGAUGAGUCAUAAAAUCACUUCUAGUUUUAUGGUUUAGGGUUUAGAGUCUAGGGUUUAGAGAUUAGGGUUGUUAUUUAUUGGGGUUUAUUUUUAAAGUAUAAUUUUUGGGUAGUCUAUGUUAUAUGUUAGGCUUUAAAACCAUAAAACCUUUUAUAAACUUAAUUUUUUAAAUUGUAUAAUUUAAUUUUAUGGGUUUAGUGUAUUAAUUUUUAACGACGGUGGUUGGGUCGUGGAAUACAUAUUUUACGUCAUACAGUAAAACAUACGACAUGGUUUACGCUUUAAACGACGUUAUUUUAAUAUGUAAGUCGGUUUAUAUAAUUUACAACGUCUUUAAUUUCUUAACACCGACGUGGUUUUUCAGUCGUCGUUAUAUAAAAAAUUCAAAAUAAAUUUAAAAUUAAUCCGAAAAAUGAACGGCCUUACGUUCUUAAUCCGAAAAAUGAAGUUUCCGUCGUGGAAUAUUAAAUUUACGUCGGUACUUGUAGAACUUUCGCCUUGGUUUUUCUUUCGACGUUUUAUAACGCGCGCGCUCUAAAAAUUUUCGCGCGACCUAAAUUUUUUUAGAUUUGGCUCUUAGCCUUAUACUUUGAUCCCUGAAACCUAAAAUUUCAGAUUUCACGCGACAUAACAUUUCGCUCUCUCACUUCUGCUCUAAUUAAAAGUUGCACUCUCCAGGCUCGUCGAAUCUGUGAGCUCGUCCAACCUGUAAGUACAAACCCUAUCUUCCCCUUGUAAAUUCAUUGAAUGAUAUUAGGUUGUUUUGUUAAAGGGUUUUAGGUAUAUGCUUUGCGAUCUGUUAAUAAUGUGCUUAUAGGUAUGGGUUCAUGGAUUUUCUGUUUAAUGGGUUCAUGACAAGAUCAAAUAAAGGUGUACUUUUGCUGUUUAAUGGGUUCAUGGAUUACAUUAUCUGUUAUGUUGAAUUGGGAAUGGAUUUAAUUUUGUCGUAUCUUUUAAUCACCCUAUGUUAUGUUGAAUUGGGAAUGGAUUUAUUGUUUUCAUGCUUGGUUUCAUGUAUAUGUUGGUUUCUUGCUUGGUUUCAUAUAUAUGUUGUGUUCUUAAUGGGUUUUGUGUUCUUGAAAAUAAACUGAGACACGACGAAUUUUAAGGCGUACGACGACGAUUACACGACGGUGUUUUUAAACUACCGUCGUUGUAUUACUUAUACACGACGGUUUUUUCAUAAACCGUCGUUUGUAUUACGUAUAAUAGACGACGUCUGUUGAAAAUCCGUCGUCUAUAUAUGCCAAAUACGUCUGUUUUUGAUUAAAACCCGUCGUCUCUGUUGUUUAUUACUUGCGAUUAGAUCAUUGUAUAAUCUGCUAUAGUGAUGGUCAUUGCCUGUAUUUUCACUUUAUUAUAGAUAAUAGGUUAUAGUGUCGGAGAUGGAUAAGUCAUGGAUGCACUCGGAUAGAAGAUCGAAGGCAUAUGAGUUUGGGGUGGAAGCAUUUUUGAACUUUGCUGUAGAAAAUCUUCUAACUACAACACAUAUCCGUUGUCCAUGUGUUAAAUGUGUUAAUUUGAAGUUGUUUGGGGUUGGAAUUAUAAGGGAUCACUUAUACUUUAAUGGAAUUGACCAAAGCUAUAAGAAUUGGACAUUUCACGGAGAACCUUGGGAAGCAACUACUAAUGCUAGCAGAAAUGUUGAAGAAGAUGAUGGCCAUAGUAGGUACAGUUUUGUGUCUGAAGAAAUUGAUAUGGAUGAUAAUGAUUUUGGUGAUUUUGGUUCGGAUCCGUAUGAGUUUGCCAAUGUGAUUGGGGAUGGAGAUCAACCAGUGUACCCUGGUUGUAGAAAGUACACGAAGUUAUCGGCAUUAGUGAAGUUGUAUAAUUUGAAGGCAAAACAUGGGAUGAGUGAUGUCUGUUUUACAUAAUUAUUGAUACUUCAAGGCGAUUUGCUUCCAGAAGGAAAUACAAUACCAACCUCCAUGUAUGAGGCUAAAAAGACUUUGUGUGCAUUGGGGCUGAGUUAUGAGAAAAUGCACGCAUGCCCCAAUGAUUGCAUCUUGUAUAGGAAGGAGUAUGAGGAUUCAACUAAUUGUCCUACUUGUGGUAUCUCAAGGUGGAAGGAAGGCAAAGAUGCAAUCUUGAAAGAGGGUGUGCCAGCGAAGGUGGUGUGGUAUUUUCCCCCAAUUCCAAGGUUUAAAAGGAUGUUUCAAUCACAUGAGACAGCUAAGAGUUUGACUUGGUGGCAUGUUGCUAGAAAAUCAAUUGACGGUCAGAUGUCUCAUCCGGCGGAUUCCCCGUCUUGGAAACUUCUUGAUGAUAAAUGGCCUGAGUUUGGUAAUGAGCCGAGAAACUUGAGAUUGGCUCUUUCAUCUGAUGGAUUCAAUCCCCACAGUUCUCUAAGUAGCAGAUAUAGUUGUUGGCCGGUUAUCUUAGUUACAUAUAAUCUCCCUCCAUGGCUGUGCAUGAAACGAAAGUUCAUGAUGUUAACCUUAUUGAUUUCCGGUCCUAAACAACCCGGAAAUGAUAUAGACGUCUACUUGGAGCCUUUGAUUGAUGAUUUAAAAUCCUUGUGGGUUGGGAUUAGAGGAGUGUAUGAUGCACAUAAUGGAGAAUACUUUACACUCAGAGCUGCAUUAAUGUGGACAAUUAAUGAUUUCCCCGCCUAUGGAAACUUAUCUGGUUGUGUUGUUAAAGGAUAUAAAGCUUGUCCAAUAUGCGGCGAUGAUACACCUAGUCACAGGUUGAAAAAUGGCCACAAAAUUUGUUACAUUGGGCAUAGAAAAUGGUUACCAAUCAAUCAUCCAUAUAGGAGGCAACGUGCAGCUUUUAAUGGGAAACCUGAAUAUGGCAUACCUCCAGAGCCAUUAACCGGAGAAGAAGUGCUGCAUAUGGUUGAAAAUGGUGACAGAGUUUGUUGGAAGAAGAAAUCAAUAUUCUUUGAUCUCGAGUAUUGGAAAUACCUUCCUGUGAGGCAUGCCCUAGAUGUUAUGCACAUUGAGAAGAAUGUUUGCGAUAGUAUCAUUGGUACAUUGCUGGAGAUCCCUGGAAAAAAUAAAGAUGGGAUUGCUGCUCGAUUAGAUUUAUUGAACAUGGGGGUCAAAACUGAUUUGCAACCCGAGUAUGGAGAAAGACGUACUCGUUUGCCUCCUGGGCCUUGGAAUUUGUCAAGAGCAGAGAAGAGAGAGGUUUGCAAUUCUUUCUAUGGUAUGAAGGUCCCUGAAGGUUAUUCUUCCAAUAUUAAAAAUCUUGUAUCUGUACAAGAUUCAAGACUUCUUGGCCUUAAAUCACAUGAUUGUCAUACCUUAAUGCAACAAUUGCUCCCUGUGGCAAUUCGUUCUGUUUUGGAGAAGCCUGCAAGGUAUGCAAUAACUCGUUUGUGCUUCUUCUUCAAUGCUAUAUGUGCAAAGACUGUUGAUGUUUCCAAGCUAGAUAAGUUGGAAGAAGAUGUAGUAGUUACUCUGUGUUUGCUUGAGAAGUACUUUCCCCCUUCAUUCUUUGAUAUCAUGGUUCAUCUAGUAGUACAUCUUGUCAGAGAAGUUCGUCUAUGUGGGCCAGUAUAUUUUAGGUGGAUGUAUCCGUUUGAAAGAUAUAUGAAAGUGCUGAAGGGGUAUGUUCAGAAUCGUACUCGUCCCGAAGGUUGCAUUGCUGAGCGGUAUAUAGCUGAAGAAGCGGUAGAGUUUUGUACUCAGCAUUUAUCUGAUGUUAGUACAGUUGGAGUGCCUUCAAGCCAAAAGAUGGGAGUUUCAAAGCCAUUAUCAGGUUGCACAGUGAGCGUAGUUGAUCAGGACCUGUUGAAUCAAGCACAUCUAUAUGUCUUGGAGAAUACGGAGGAAGUCCUACCUUAUAUCGAGUACGUAUGAGUUUUAUUCUUUAAGUUUCCAUUUAAAAUUAUUUCUUAUGUUUAUCUUAUAUAUUUGGGACCGUAAUGCUUGAAUUUUUCGUGUCAUGUAGGCAACAUAUGAUCCACAUCAAGACUGCUUAUCCAAAAUUUAGAAAGAGAACAAAGUGGCUGCAGGAUAAGCACAAUAGCACUUUCAUUCAAUGGCUACGCUUCAAGGUAUAUGUUGUUGAAUAACGUAUUUCUCUUUUAAUUUUCUUCUUAUUUAUAUGUUAGGAUGAAUUAAGAUAUGAUUAAUUUGCAGGUUCAAAGUGAAGUUGAGGAAGACAAUCAUGGCGUAUCAGAAAAUUUAAGGUGGCUAGCAGCUGGUCCAAACAUGUCAGUGCCAUUAUAUAGGAGCUAUCUUAUUAAAGGUAUUAAAUUCAAUAUCAAGGCACAAGAUGAUGUGCGGACAACUCAAAAUAGUGGAGUUUAUUUACUUGCACAUACCAUGCAAGUUGCUAGUGCCAAGGAUAAAAACCCAAUUCUCUCAAAUAUGGGUUUCUAUGGUGUCAUUCAAGAAAUUUGGGACCUUGACUACCAAAAGUUUACAAUCCCAGUCUUUAGGUGUGAUUGGAUAGAUAGUUCUGGUCUUGUAGUCGACGAACUUGGAUUUACCCUUGUAGAUUUGAGUAAAAUUGGACAUAGGAAUGACCAAUUUGUUUUGGCUUCUCAAGUCAAACAAAUAUUUUUUGUUGACGACCCGAUGCAUCGUGGUUGGUCGGUAGUGUUAUCAAUGCCUAGUAGAGAAUAUAAUGAUGUUAUUGGUGAUGAAGUAUUAGGUGAUGUGAUAAUUGAGUGUGAGCCAUUUACUAGAGGGAUGCCAAAUGUUGACACAUUUGAUGAACUGGUAGGUGAGUUAGGCGGUCAAAAUGUNNNNNNNNNNNNNNNNNNNNNNNNNNNNNNNNNNNNNNNNNNNNNNNNNNNNNNNNNNNNNNNNNNNNNNNNNNNNNNNNNNNNNNNNNNNNNNNNNNNNNNNNNNNNNNNNNNNNNNNNNNNNNNNNNNNNNNNNNNNNNNNNNNNNNNNNNNNNNNNNNNNNNNNNNNNNNNNNNNNNNNNNNNNNNNNNNNUAUUGUGAAGCAAUUAUUCAGGAUAUCACGUCGGUGAAGGAUAAAGAACCGCCAUGUAAUUCAAAAUAACACGACUCCAAUCCCAUAAUACCGACGUCUAAAAAACGAGAUAUGUAAUCUGAACGUUAAAAAAUACGACGUCAUCAUACAUUUUCCACGUCGCAAGUUCUUUUAUAAACGAAGAGGAACGAAAUUAAUUCCGACGGAAAUUCAUUAUAACCGCCGUCUAAUAACAAUUAAACGACGUUAUUUGUAAUACGGCUCCCAUCAUAAUCUACGCCGUCUAUAUGUUCUGUAAUACGGCUCUCAUUUAUUUGGAACCGACGUUGUUUAGACGUUCAACGUCGUCUAUAUUAUUAAGUGCGUCGUGAGUAAUGAAUACAUAUAAAUACAACGUCGACUAUAUAAAUGUAUACGUCGUAAAUAAUGACACUGACAACUAUUUCCACGUCAUCUUUUUUAGAUAAAAUCGAAGUGGAAAAUUUAUUUCACGACGGUUUUUUGUAAAUAAGAGACGUUGUAGAACUUUAGCAGACUAAACACGUCUGUUUUUAUUGUUUUCCGACGUUGUUGUAUUUAACAACGUCUAAUAUUUAUGGUCGUUGUUUGUUUCUGAAAAUAGGACGUAUAAAUUUUUUAAUACGACUCUCAUAUAUUUGUAACUGACGUUGUUUAGUUUUUCAACGUCUACUAUAGAAACACAUACGUCGUAAAUAAUGACACUGACAACUAUUUCCACGUCAUCUUUUAUCAAAAAAUCGAAGUGGAAAAUUAAUUGUACGACGGUUGUGUUUAUAUGUGCGACGUAGUAGGUAUCAAUAACGUCGUCUUCUAAUGUAUUUAAAGACGUCAUAUUUUUUAUUGUCGUGAAAAUUAUAUUUAACGUCGGCGUAUUUUUAUUGUCGUCGUUGUAUGUCUAUCUUGCGGCCUUGUUCUCUUAAUAUGUGUCAUAUUUUCCCUUUUUAACGACGGUCUUUUUAGAGAAUUGGUCGUCUAUUAUCAUCAUCGAUUGCUUUUUUUAGAUCUUUUGCAGUACAAAGACGUCGUUUUGUAUUUUUUGAUGACGUUGUAUUGUUUAACAACGACGGUUAUUUAGCGUCGUGGUUUAUGAGGGAAAAGAUGACGGUGGAUUCCACGACCAUUGAAAAACCAAAUACACGACGGUGAUUUACCGUCGUCUUUUUGCUUUUUUGUAGUAGUGUGUAUACUGGAGAAGUUUUGUGCGCUCUCAUUAGGAUUGCACUAUACAACCAUACGGACAAUUGAGGCACAUAGUGUCAUGGACCAAGAGUUCAUUGACUCAAAUGAUUUUAAGCUUUGGUAUGACUGGGUGGGUCAUCCUGGAUCCACCAUGAUGCGUAGGAUCAUCACCAACUCUAAAGGACAUCCCUUAUUGACAAAACACAUUAUGGCAUCAAGUGACAGCUUUUGCCAAGCUUGUUCACAAGGGAAGUUGGUGAUCAGACCAUCACGACCAAAGGUUGAUGUUGAGUCCCCAUCAUUUUUGCAAAGAAUCCAAGAGGACAUUUAUGGGCCUAUUCAUCCUCCCUGUGGACUAUUUCGGUACUUUAUGGUCUUAGUGGAUGCAUCUACCCGAUGGUCGCAUAUUUGCCUUUUGUCCACUCGGAAUAUGGCAUUUGCUAGGCUCUUGACUAAGAUAAUUAAAUUACGAGUCCAAUUCCCAGAUUAUCCCAUUAAGUCAAUCAGACUCGAUAAUGCUGGUUAAUUUACAUCUCAGACUUUUGAUGACUACUGCAUGUCAUAGUCAUUGACAUUGAACAUCCUGUUCCCCAUGUUCAUACUCAAAAUGGUUGGCAGAAGCUUUAAUUAAGCGUCUUCAAUUGAUAGCAUGCACUUUGUUAAUGAAAAUAAAGUUGCCAGUUUCUGCUUGGGGAUAUGACAUUUUACAUGCAGCAUCACUGGCGCAGUUAAGGCCCGUAACCAACAAUCAAUAUUCUCCAAUACAACUCGUGUUGGGUAAUCAACCAAACAUUUCCCAUUUAAGAGUUUUUGGGUGUGCGGUAUAUGUGCCAAUUGCACCACCGCAACGUACUAAGAUGGGCCCUCAACGCAGAUUGAGAAUUUAUGUUGGUUUUGAUUCCCCAUCUAUCAUCAGAUAUUUGGAGCCCCUGACGGGUGAUAUCUUUACCGCACGAUUUGCAGAUUGUCAUUUUGAUGAGACAAUCUUCCUACCAUUAGGGAGAGAAAAAUCUGUUCCUAAAGAACAACAAGGCAAACUCGUUCAUGAAGAACGACAUGAAUUAUCGUGGGACGUACCCGCUUUGUCUCAUCUCGAUCCUCGUAUCGCUCAAUGCGAAAACGAAGUAAGAAGGAUCGUUCACCUCCAAAGUAUUGCAAAUCAGAUGCCAGAUGCAUUUAAUGAUGCAGCAAAGGUGACGAAAUCACAUAUCCAAAUUUGUUACAACUUUCUUAUCACCUUAUUAAAAAAUUACAUAAGAAAAAAUAUUAGUUUUUUUUUUUCCUUUUUUGAAAGACUCCAACAAAUAAGACUUACCUAAUUAAUGGUUUAGAAGAAAAAAAAUCAAUAAUCAAACUUACCGAAUUAAUGGUUUGAAAAUGCAAUCAAUGAACUUCCUUUUAAAACAGACUUCCUUAGCAAGACGUCUUUUGUCUGUAUAAAAAAAAAAAAAAAGGAUAUAUCUUUUGUGGAUAUUUUUAAGGUCAUUAUUGUGUUUUUUUUUUAAAAAAAAAAGUUUUUCCUCUAAAAAAAUAGACAUUUUCUUUUUUUUUUAAACAGAAUUUUUUAUUUUUUAUAAAUAUUUUUUACAUAUGGUAAGAGAGUUGUAAAAAAAAUUUGAUAAAUUGAAGGACAAUACAUUUAAUAAGGGUAAACUUGGAAAACAAAAUGUGGUUUGUUUGAUGUAUUAGUGUCAUUAUUUUAAGUGUAUGAGAAAUGACACAUGUCAUGAGGAAAAGAAAGAAGGUCCAAAAGAGAAGGUUGGAGAGAAGGUUACUAGCAUUCCGUAUCAUUUAAUGAAACAAACUCUAACAGUUAGUUCUUUCUCAUGUGAAAUUUUUUACAUUUCUCACUUCUUCACAUGCACACUGCCUUUUCUCAACUGGUCUGUCAAUUUUCUAUUGUAUGAACUUAUUGAUGUGUAUGAGUUCCUAUCGUGUAUUGAGGGAACAAACAAAAAAGAAGACAGAUUAGUCAAUGAAAUAAUGUAUGGAAUUUGCAUUAUUUCUUUAUGUAAUUUUCAUAUUAAAUGACGAAGAAAAUUCUAGAGGAAGACAGAUUAGUCAAUGAAAUCAUGUAUGGAAUUUUCGUUCUUUCUUUAUGUGAUUUUCAUAUUAAACGACGAAGAAAAUUCUAGAUGAAGACAGAUUAGUCAAUGAAAUAAAGUAUGGAAUUUUCCGCUAUUUCUUUAUAUAAUUUUCAUAUUAAAUGACGAAGAAAAUUCUAGAGGAAGACAGAUUAGUCAAUGAAAUAAUGAUGGAAUUUUUGCUAUAGGAAGGCAGAUUAGUCAAUGAAAUAAUGUAUGAAAUUUCCACUAUUUCUUUAUGUAAUUUUCAUAUUAAAUGACGAAAAAAAUUCUAAAGGUAGACUUAUCAGAAAAGGAUAUACAUGUGCUCAUAAAUGAAAAAGUAAAAUACAUGUCCUCCUCCUUUGUUCUGAGGAGUGGGACAAAAGUGGGUGUUUAUAAGACUUUGAGGAAGGCUUUUUUUUUUUUUCAAAAAAAAAAAAGUUUUUCCUCUAAAAAAAUAGACAAUUUCUUUUGAAAAAAACAGAAUUUUUUAAUUUUUUAAAUAUUUUUUACAUAUGGUAAGAGAGUUGUAAAAAAAUUUGAUAAAUUGAAGGACAAUACAUUUAAUAUGGGUAAUUUUGAAAAACAAAAUGUGGUUUGUUUGAUGUAUUAGUGUUAUUAGUUUAAGUAUAUGAGAAGUGACACAUAUCAUGAGGAAAAGGAAGAAGGUCCAAAAGAGAAGGUUGGAGAGAAGGUUAGUAGCAUUCCGCAUCAUUCAAUGAAACAAACUCUAACAGUUAGUUCUUUCUCAUGUGAAAUUUUUUACAUUUCUCACUUCUUCACAUGCAUACUGCCUUUGCUCAACUGGUCUGUCAAUUUUCUAUUAUGUAUGAACUUAUUGAUGUGUAUGAGUUCCUAUCGUGUAUUGGGGGAACAAACAAAAAAGAAGACAGAUUAGUCAAUGAAAUAAUGUAUGGAAUUUCCAUUAUUUCUUUAUGUAAUUUUCAUAUUAAAUGACGAAGAAAAUUCUAGAGGAAGACAGAUUAGUCAAUGAAAUCAUGUAUGAAAUUUCCGUUCUUUCUUUAUGUGAUUUUCAUAUUAAAUGACAAAGAAAAUUCUAGAUGAAGACAGAUUAGUCAAUGAAAUAAAGUAUGGAAUUUCCGCUAUUUCUUUAUAUAAUUUUCAUAUUAAAUGACGAAGACAAAAUUAUAGAGACAGACAGAUUAGUCAAUGAAAUAAUGUAUGAAAUUUUUGCUCUAGGAAGACAGAUUAAUCAAUGAAAUAAUGUAUGAAAUUUCCUCUAUUUCUUUAUGUAAUUUUCAUAUUAAAUGACGAAAAAAAUUCUAAAGGUCGACUUAUUAGAAAAGGAUAUACAUGUGCUCAUAAAUGAAAAAGUAAAAUACACGUCCUCCUCCUUUGUUAUGAAGAGUGGGACAAAAGUGGGUGUUUAUAAGACUUUGAGGAAGGCUUUUCCCAAUCAAUCAAUGAAGAUUAGAGGAAGAGUUUUACCAAUCAAUCAAUGAAGGCUAGAGGAAGAGUUAAAUAGCAACAAAUGGCCCCCUUUUUGGUUGGGGGAACGUGUGUGUGGGUGUUAAAAUUCAUUGGAGAAAGACAAGAGGACUAUACCACAUCAUGUGUGGUAGAUAAUGUGUCAAUUUGGAAAUAGCUUUAGUAGCAAGUGGACUAUACUAGCCACCUACAGCUUUAAGCCUGAUCAUUCAGAUAAUGCUUGUAUCCUUUGUUUUACCGCGGCUACUAACAUAAAGAAAGCCGAUACUUUCGUUGCCUCUUCUACCUCCACGCGGCAUUGCUCUGUCGGGCUUUCUCCUAUUGCGGAUAAUUCCCCAUUAUUGCCUUCGGUAGGAAUAUGGGCUGUGUCUCAAUUAGUGUGGUUGAUCUUCCGAAUUGCCUUAGUUAGCUUUGCCUUACCAACUACCUAAUUAGACACAAGGCCCCUCCUCGGAGAAAAGUUACUAGCAGAACUAUAUAAGACUUUUAACAGUUGUCACAUAUGAUUAUGUGUGUUAAACCUCUUUCAACCUUAACCCUAGAAUUACACAGAGUAACAAGUAUUAUUUAUUGAAUUAUCGAAACAGUACAAUAUUCUCAACAACUCAUUCUUGAUACAAUAAUUCCCUAAUAGAGUUGUAAGCUCUAAUUAACCAAUUAUGUUAUAAACUAAUUUCUUAACUAAUCAAUUAAUAAACUGACUAUGCCGGCUCAUCACUAAUCCAGCUCAGCAAUGAUGAAGGUUCCUAAUAAUGUGAUCAGUCGAUGUGACGUAGUGUUAUUGAUUAAAAUAUAGCCAUCCCUACCACCUCAUGUAAAUCCCACAAGACUCCUAUUCACGGAGGGGAAGAAAGUAGGGGGAAUGCUAGCAACCUUUUCUCUAACCUUCUCUUUUGGACCUUCUGUUAGUAUGAAAAUAGUGUUGUCAUUUCCUAGACUCUAGCAUAGGUUGAAAAUUAGUGUGUGAAGAAUUGUUACUGGACGUUUUGGCACAACUCAUUCAACCCCAUACAUCCGAGGCAUGACUUGACCGAUAUGAGAAACUUGAUUUCAGGUAAAUCAUGGCAUAAUCAUGCAUUCAUUAUAGGAUUCCUAGUUUGAGUUUUCUUUUUCAAUCAAGUAUUUUUAUGUUAAUCUUAUUUUUAAUAGGAUUAGACUUUAUCUCUUAAGAUUACUUUUCUAGUUGAACUCUAUCUUGAUUUAAGUUAAAAUAUUAUCUUUUCCUAAGUGACAUGCACAAUGCUUAUUUUCCAAUUACCUUGCUUUAGGAGUCAAUUGGUUCUUCAUAAAAGUGGACGGUUGGUAACAUCAUUAAGAGUCCUUAAUGAAUCAGACUUUGUAUUUUUAUUGAAUCAGAAUUUAUAUUGUUAAUCGGAUAACUGUUUGGCCCUUAUGUGGCGUCUCAUUUAGGAGAUCAUAUUGCACCAGGUUUAAAAGAGUCUUAGCUGAAUUGGUCUUAGAGUUAUAAUUGUUUUGGAAGUGUAGUCUCGCAAGUUUCUCUCCUGUGAGAGAAACUUGCUUUGAAUAAAAGGAUGUCUGUUUCUUUUCAUUGUAGCUUUUGAACGUAUAAAAUUGUUGGGGUAUAUUGAAUCUAUGUUGGGAAAAGCUGCUGUACUUAGUUUACUCGGUAAGUCAUCAAGUGCUUAUGUUGCUUGGUGAUUGAUCAAAUUCAUUCAUCAUUCAUAUUGCAUUCAUUUGCAUUGUUCGGUGACUCAUACGGUUGAGGGCACCAAGACCGUGGUGACGGUUUUUUCUCCGGUGAGCUUGAAACAAUGAUGACCAGUAUUGCGUUUAACAUAAGGAGUGUCGAAGAUCAUCCCUUGACAGAAGUUGAAUUACGAAGAAGUUGGUAAACGUCAUCUAGAAUGUGUCUAGAAUAAGUGUGUGAGUACUUCUUGUAAUCAUCGUUCUAUAGUGGAUUUGUAUUGGACUGAGGAGUCCCAUGGAUUUUUUCCAGAGGAGGGGUUUUACCACGUAAAAUAAUUCUCUGUGUGUUUCUUUAUUUUAUGUUCAGCAUGUUUCAGGAUUGAUAAGCCAUAUCAAUCCUGCUACAUAAGUUUAUUUUUACUUAUUUGAUUAUAAUAUUAAAUUGGCCUAUUCUCCCCCCUUUAGGCAUUUUUAGUCAUCCUACAGGUAUUUUCACCUUCUUCCUUUUCUUUAUGACAUGUGGAUUUUUUUAAGGUCAUUAUUGUGUUUUUUUUUAUAACCAAAAAAAAAAAACGUUUUCCUCUGUAAAAAAAAAAAAAAAAGACAUUUUCUUCAAAAAUAUAUAUAUAUAUAAAUUUUAAAAUUUAAAUUUUUUUACAUAUGGUAAGAGAGUUGUAAGAAAAAAUUGGAUAAAUUGAAGGACAAUACAUUUAAUAAGGGUAAACUUGAAAAACAAAAGGUGGUUUGUUUGAUGUAUUAAUGUCAUUAUUUUAAGUUGUAUGAGAAGUGACACAUAUCAUGAGAAAAAAGAAGAAAAUCCAAAAGAGAAGAUUGGAGAGAAGGUUACUAGCAUUCCCUAUAUAUAUGUACGUUUUUUGGUGAGAAAAAUCCCUUCGAGUAGACAAGAAAUUGUACAGGAAAUUGUACAUUUUUUUGUCUUUUCGCAUUUUUCUUUUCAUGUUAAAGUAGUUUAGGACCGUCCUCUUUCAAAGCAGACAUGUGCAGUUGCAAAAGACCAUCGUGCAUGUUUAUGGGAAAAAACAAAACCUCUAGCCCACUUGGCUAUAAAUUAUUGUAUGUAUGCCAUUUACCUUCUUCUUCUUCCUUUUUUUUUUUUUUUUCCUGCAUGUCAUUUACUAUUUUACGUGAUAUGUGCAUCUGUGAGAAUGAUAGCUCCCAAACGUUCGGCACCAUGAGUGAUUAACUAUUUUGAUUAUAGAAUUUAAAGUUAAAUGAUUUUAAUUAUGUGGAAUUUUUUAGACCAGAACCUCGAUUUAUUCAAAUUAUAGAAGUUCAAUUUAACAACUUUUGUGCAAUUAGAACCAGAGAGAGAAUGGAUUUCUUGAGUUGUUGUAUCGUCCUGCUAAACCUUUUCUUUGUGUUGUUGUUCUCAAUUAUUCAAGCUCUGCAAAGCAAAGCCAAUCCCGAAAGGCAUCUUCUCCCACCUGGACCAAAGCCAUUUCCCUUCAUUGGCAAUCUUUUAGAGCUUGGCAACAAACCCCAUCUCUCUCUCACCAAGCUUUCUCAAAUCUAUGGCCCCAUUAUAACUUUGCAAUUCGGCCAAUAUUCAUAUUGGGGAUUCCCCAUCCCCACCUUUAAUGGGGAAUGGGUUCCCCGUCCAACCCCACCUUUUGGGAUUGGCCUUGCUUUGCAGAGCUUGAAUAAUUGAGAACAACAACACAAAGAAAGAUGGCACCAGGUAUGUCAGAGGUCGUAUACUCAAGUAAGAUGGCAACAGGUAUGUCUUUACGUAUUUCAAAUUGUGUGAAGAUUUUGAACAUGUAUAUUAAAGAAAUCUCACAGUUGGUAUCAGAGCCAGGUUGUUCGCACACACUAAAAUCGUUUUUCAAGCAUGCCAAUUACGAUUUCUUAUAUGUUUAUGCCAUGAUGAGUUUUUGGUGAUGUUCAAAAUUUGAAGAUGGAUUAAACAUGUUUUCUAAAUAUCGAGAAUAUUAAAGAAUCUGGAAAAGCAUGUUUUAAUUUGAUUUUCAUAUCUUCAAAACUUUAAACACGUUUUUGACCUACCUGAUGACCUGAAAACCCCAAAAAUGCCCAUAUGUAAUAGCAUAGUUGUGAGUUGUGUUAAUUAUGUCAUUCCCUAUUUAGAAAGGUAUUUUGCGUCAAAAACGAACACCAAAAACGUCUAAAACACUGUUCACUGCAGAAAUUACUAUUCACUGCAAUUUAGGGUUUUCUCUCUUGAACUGUAUUUGUUUCGUUAUUUUCUGAGCUAGAUAGGUGCUUAUUUUUGUUCUGAGAAUCAACAAAUUUUUCUUAACAAAACCAAACCUAAAUACUCAAAUCCUAAAGAAAUAACAAAAAUUGCAUCAUACCUAAAUUACUUGAUAAGUUUCUUCAACAAAUAGAAUCUGUCAUGUAAUUUAUUUAUGAUGGCACAAGAUAACACGUAAUUUGUGUAAGGUAUAAGUAAUCUCUUGCCACAAAGGUGUGAUACUUAAUUAAGGAAGCUUGCAUAUAUUAUUUGUUAGUUUAAUGAAUAAAGUGAAAUGGAAAAACUAUUUUCUCUUAACAAAUUGAGAAUUGGUGUCUUGGAAAGUAAUUAUGUUUUUUUUUUUUUGGUUGCAAAUCCUUACAGCUUUGAACGCUCUCUCAAUCAAUUUCUCACAAAUUGAAAGAUUCACUGGAACAAACUUCAAAACAUGGACGUAUGAUUUUGAAGUUAUUCUCGGAAUGAAUGAGAUCGUUUAUGAUCUCACUCAUGAUUAUAUUUAAUUCAAGCUAGCCAUUUCGCUUAUGUGUCUUGUAGUACAACUCCUAGAGCUUAGGAAAAAGGAAAAGCCUCUGGUGGUUAAUAGGAGCCACUCGUGCCAACUAAUCACAAAUGAAAUUCUAGUAAAGAAUACAAUGGAGCUAAUUAAGAAGCGGAACGAAGAUGAGCUGGAGCAAAAAAGGGUUAAGAUGCAGUGACGUCGUCGAUCUUAUGGAGGACCCAUAAGGAUAUACAUGGCUACAAAGGACGGUCUCAGAAGUCUCAGGAUCACUGUAAAGCUCGGUGUAUGCGCUUAUGGGAGAGGACGAAACAUCAAUAAGCUAAUUCGAUACAAAAAUCUCCUAGUGUAGUUUGUGAAACAUACGCCCCAACUUGAAUCACUUGUUGAGAUUUUUGAUACCUCCACUAAUAGGGAGAUAGUGGUACUUAACCCGUUCCUUGCUAGGGAGAACAACACUUUGGCAUCAUGUUGUGACAAGGAGGAUUAGAUAGCUACAUGUUGUUUUCAUUAAAUAUUAUUGGAAUAUUUAAUUUUAAGUUGGAUUUAGGAUUUAUUUUAAAGUUGGAUGAUGUAGUUUCAUUACCGUAAAUAAAGAGAAAUUUAAUUUCUAAUUCAAGAUUAUUAAGACUUGGUUUUAUUUUGGAUUCAAUAAAGAUGUUUUUGUAUCUCAGAAUUCAAAGACAAUAAAGAUGGAUUAUACUGUCUCAAUUACAAUAAAUCUUUUUGAUAUCAACAAACGGGUGUUCACCAUUAAACAGAAUGGUGCAGUCAUCCACAAAUACUACAGCCAACUGCAGCACAUCUUUCAAGAAAUUGAAUCGCAUGCACUGCGACGCCGAUGUGACUGAUUGCCAGAAAGAACUAGAUUGUCUUCGUGUUCACCUUUUUCUUGUCGGGCUCAACCCUGAGUUUGAUCAAGUUCGGGGGGAAAACCUAUGCAAAGAUCCUAAAUGAGACCAUGAUCAAAGCUUUGCAUAUGUACGUCGCGAAGCUCAACAACGACUGACCAUGGCCAGUGCUCCGGAAACCGUUGUGAUGGUCACUCAACGUCAACAAGGCCCUUAGAUCUCUACUGGUGGCUCUUCUCAUACUAAGGUCACAGACACUCAUCUGGAGCAUAAAUGCACUCACUGUGGUGGAAGUAAACAUACCCGUGCUGGUUGUUACGAAUUGAUUGGGUGCCCAGAUUGGUGGGACCACUCCAAAGCUCCCCCCAAGAAUAGGAGCAAAUCACCCAACACAUCUUCUGACUCAGAUCUUGUAAGUCCUGCUGUUUCAACUACAUCGGCUCUCGCCUCUGCAUCUGUAGCCAUAACAGGUAACCAAGGUUAUGUUUUACAUAGUUCUUCAAAGAAACAUACAUGAAUUAUUGACACCGGAGCCACUGAUCAUAUGACCUUUGAUCCUGGACAAAUUGCCUCUCAUACACCGUCUCCUCAAUCAGUGGUGUCUAAUGCCAAUGGUACCCUAUCCCCUAUAAUUAGGGAGGGUUCACUCUCUCUCUUUCUAAUUCUUUCAAUUUGGAUUCUGUGUUGAUUAUUCCAUCCUUACAUCAUAAUCUCUUGUUUGUUGCCCAAAUUACUAAGGCUUUGAAUUGCACUGUAACCUUUUGGCCUACUCAUUGUGGUUUUCAGGACAUUCUCAGUAACAAGACAAUUGGUUGUGGUACUAGGAGGGGCAAACUUUACUACUUGGACUUAGCAUCUGACAAUGAAACACACUACCGAAGUAUGGUUAUGGCAUCGGCGUCUUGGAUAUGCUUCGUUUGGAUAUUUACAGAAGCUAUUUCCUCCCUUAUUUUCCAAUUUAGAUAUUUUCAAUUUUAAGUGUGACAUUUGUGAAUUGGCCAAGAGCCAUCGUGUUCCUUUUCCCUUAAGUUCAAAUAAAAGUUUAGUUCCAUUUUCUCUUGUUCAUUCUGAUGUUUGGGGCCUUGCUAAAAUUACCACUCCAGGGGGAGCUCGAUGGUUUGUCAUGUUUAUAGAUGAUUGCACCCACAUGACCUGGGUUUCCCUUCUAUAAAAAAAAGAGGAAGUCAGUUCCAAGUUUCAAUAGUUCUAUCAAAUGGUGGAGACUCAGUUUCAUGCUAGAAUUCAGAUUCUUCGUUCUGACAAUGACAGAGAAUUUCUUGACCAUGAUCUUAACAAGUUCUAACAAGAUCAUGGCAUCAUACAUCAACGCUCAUGCCCCUACACUCCCCAACAAAAUGGAGUCCCUGAAAGAAAGAACAUACAUUUAUUGGAAGUAGUUCGUGCCUCUCUCUUUGGUGCCAAUAUGCCUUGAUCUUUUUGGAGAGAAGCCGUCGUCUCUACAGCAUACCUCAUCAAUCGGAUACCUUCCAGUAUCCUAAAUUUCCAAACACCACUUCAAACGCUUCACCAUCAUAUCCAAAUACCUCCUACCCCAAACCUAGAACCCUGUAUUUUUGGCUGUGUUAUAUUUGUCCAAUUACAUGAUCACCAACGAAGCAAAUUAGAUCCCCAAGCCGAGAAGUGUGUUUUCAUUGGCUAUGCACCUCAUCAGAAAGGAUACCGAUGUUAUCAUCCUCCUAGUCAGAAGGUCUACAAUUCCAUGGAUGUUGUGUUCCAGGAACAUGACUUAUAUUUUUCAGCAGUACAUAAGGAGAAUCAAGAAUCCACCACUCCUCAAAUUGUCGAUUUUUUCCCCAAGAUGUCACUCUGCUUCAAAACGACCGGUCGCCAAUGGAAAGCGACCGGUCGCCCCCCCUUAGGUCUUCAAACAUGGAGAACUUGCUUCCAAAUGACUGGUCGCCAGAAGACAACAAAUGGUCGCUAGAGGAAAAUUAUCAGUUGUCUCCACGCUAUCAAAAUCAGGAGGAGGAAAUUGAACCGUUUAUGAGAUUUUGCCCGCUUUAGUUCCAGUACCACACCAAUCACCUGCUAAGGAAGUCAUUCAGGUAACAUCUUUCCCUGAAACUGAUAACACUAAUGAAAUAUCCCAUGAUGAUUGAUUUCAGAAGGCAUAGAGGCUACAUGUCAGCUUCCAGAAAGGAAGAAUCGUGGCAAACCUCGAGUACAAUAUGAAGCAAAUCUUAAAGCCAAGGGAAAAUACCCCAUCAAUAAUUAUAUAUCUCUCAGUAGAUUAUCAGAGUCACAUGUGCACUAUGUGAAGUUGUUGGCUAACAUAUCUGUCCCCAACAGUGUGACUGAAGCAAUAGAAGACCCAAAAUGGAAAGAAGUCAUGAAUGAAGAAAUGCGAGCUCUGCAAAAGAAUGUCACAUGGGAACUCGUGCCCUUACCUCAUGGAAAGAAGACAGUAGGAUGCAGGUUUUUUUAUAUUGUGACACUCAAAGCAGAUAGAUCCAUUGAAAGAUAUAAAGCUAGAUUGGUGGCGAAGGGGUGCACACAGAGAUAUGUGAUAGACUACCAGGAGACCUUUGCCCCAGUAGCCAAGAUUAACACUAUUAGAGUCAUAUUUUCUCUAGCAGCAAAGCUCGAAUGGCCACUACAUCAGUUUGAUGUCGAAAAUGCAUUCUUACAUGGAGACUUGGAAGAAGAAGUAUAUAUGGACUUACCCCCAGGAUGUAAUUCAGCUCUUGACAAGAAGAAUCAAGUUUACGAGCUCAAAAAGUCAUUACAUGGGUUAAAGCAAUCUCCUAGGGCAUGGUUUGGCAGAUUUAUUAAAUCUAUGAAGAAUUUUGGAUAUAAACCGAAUAAUUCAUCACACCCUGUCCUUGAAGCGUGAUGAAGGAAAACUUAUUGCAUUGAUUGUUUAUGUAGAUGACAUAGUCGUACUGGAAACGACGCAUGAGAGCAACUGAAGUUGCAAAAGUAUUUGUCUUAGGAAUUUGAGAUGAAGAAUUUAGAUGAUCUGAAGUACUUUCUCGGAAUCGAAGUAGCAAGGUCAAAAACUGGUAUAUUUCUGUCUCAAAGGAAGUAUGUAAUGGAUCGACUCACUGACACAUGAAUGCUUGGAUGUAAGCCUGCUGACACACCCAUUGAUAUGAAUCACAAGUUGUGUGAAGAUAUGAACCAAGAACCAACCAAUAUGGAACAGUACCAACGCCUUGUUAGAAGGUUGAUAUACCUGGCAUACACAAGACUAGAUAUUGCAUAUGCUGUGAGUGUGGUUAGUCAGUUUAUGCAUUCACCCAGUGUUUCUCAUAGAAAUGCAGUUGAUCGGAUCUUAAGAUACUUAAAGUUAGCCCCUAGGAAAGGAUUAAUGUUCUAAAAAAAUGGAGAUCUUGAAGUUGUUGGAUAUACAGAUGCUGAUUGGGCUGGUUCCAGUACAGAUAGACGCUUUACUUCUGGUUACUUUACAUUUGUUAGAGGUAACCUAGUCACUUGGCAGAGUAAAAAAAUAAAAUGUGGUUUCUCAGUCUAGUGCAGAAGCAGAGUAUUGAGGAAUGACUCAAGGAGUCUGUGAAUUAUUGUGGAUCAGAAGACUCUUGACAGAAUUGAGCUUCAAGCUAGAAAAGCCAAUGGAGUUGCAUUGUGACAACAAGUCAGCUAUCGAUAUUGCCCAUAAUCCAAUUCAACAUGAUCGAACCAAAUAUGUUGAGGUGGAUAGACAUUUCAUCAAAGGAAAAAUUGAUAAUAAGAUCAUCUGCCUACCAUUCGUAAAAUCAGAAGAUCACCUGGCAGAUGUCUUAACAAAAGCUAUUUGUGAAAGAGUAUUUCAUGACUCACUUACCAAGUUGGGCAUUGGUGACAUAUAUACACCAACUUGAAGAGGAGUGUUGAAGUGAGUCUCCUAAUUAAUCAAGGAGAUGUAUUUCCUUGAUUAAUUAAGGGAUUUACUUUCUUGUUUUAUAUAGUUGACAAAUCAUUGUAUAAUUAGGAGAUACUAUCCUAAUUGAUUACUGUAUCUAUAUCCUUGUAAAGCACUUAUGUAAAUUCCUAUAUAUAUCUUCUUAUGGAGAAGAAUAAAACUUAACCUAAAGUAUUCAAACCAUAUUCAUAUUUUAGCAAGCUGUAGCCGCACCUUUCUUUUACCGCCCGUUAUUUUUGUGUCUCCGUUGCACCGUCUUCAUUGCAGACCGUCCUCUCCAUUGAGCUCUCUCGUGGCAAGCCACGGCAGCUCCAUUUAUCUCCCUGGGUAGUGAUGGCCAAAUUUCUGUUUCCUCACCGAGCCUCGUCACUACUCACCGAGCAUUCUCCUCACCAGCCUUUAUCUCUCUCAUGCCGUGUAACUCAAGUGGUUUUGAACUAGGGAUGGCAAUGGGUCGAAUCGGGGGUGGGUAUGCCUUUUCCAUCCCCAUCCCGUUUUUUUUCCAAUUCCCACCUUCAUUACUACAAUAUUCAUAUUGGGAAUUUCCCAUCCCAACCUUCAACUGGGAAUGGGUUCCCCUACUUGCCCCAUUACGUACGGAAGAAAAAUCAAUAUAAAACUACUUUUUUUGAAAGAAAAUAAACAGGACUAGAGCAAGACAAUGAGUACAUAUAAUAUAUUAUCUACGUACAAUGUUUACAUAUUGACUAGGAAGUUAACUAAAUAUAUAAGUAGUGUAGCGUAAGAUUUGUAUAAAUUUUAUAAAUAUAUAAUAUAAAACUUAGUCGGCACAAUCACUUUAAUAACAUAUUUAAAUAUACUAUAUUCUAAAUAGGGAGGGUUCGGGUCGGGGAUUAAAAUACCGUCCCUCCCCCUCCCCUAACACCAUAUCCAAAAAAUUGACAGUACCUGCCCUCAUACCCGUUUGUUAUCCUUCUUACCCGACCAUUAGGGUCGAAUCCAUGUGAAGACCCUUACCCGUGGGAAAAAUUGCCAUCCAUAUUUUGAACAGUUAUCUUCCUUGCACUCGAGAUUCUGUGUUUGAAUCUCACCCACCCAAUAUCGAUCGCUUUUAUUUUUAAAAAAAAAUAGAGACUAUCUCGUGUAUAUAUAAUAUAUCUCAAUCAUUCAUCAAGUUUGAAUCUCAAUAACAAUUGGUUGUUGUAAGAACGUCCAACAGAAUUAACUAUGAAGAUUUAUUGGGGUGCAUAGAGUAAUUGGACUGUCUUGGCUUUAUGGGGCUCCUAUCUAUUAUAGGGGGGAUUCUUAUCCUGGUGUAUGAUUUUUGUUUGUAAAAUCACCCCAGUUGCCCUUCAAUAUGAUGGUAGAUUGACCUUGCGAAGGCUAUAUCUAAAGGAAAAGCACAGAGCCAUGCCACUAGAAUACAGAUUUUUGUUUUGUAAAUUUUUUAUUAAGUUAUUCGGUGUUGAUUUUUCAAGUACUUAGCAUGAAAAAAAAUGAAAUAGAAUGAUUUUUUUCAUUAAAAAAACACUUUUGAAUGAAGCCAAUUUGGCCAUCUAAAAAGAUUCUGUUUUAGCGGAUAGCUAGUAACUUUCUUUCUGUCCAAACUAGACGCAUAACUAAGUCCAAACGAUAAGACUUGUCGGAUUGGGAGGCUCUCCCUCCCUCCUUCAACUUUUAUGUGUGUGUGUGCGUGCGAUUAGAACCAAAGAGAGAAUGGAUUUCUUUUGUUUUUGUAUGGUCCUGCUAAGCCUUUUCUCUGUGUUAUUGUUCUCAAUUACUCAAGCUCUGCAAAGCAAAGCCAAUCCCAAAAGGCAUCUUCUCCCACUUGGACCAAAGCCAUUUCCCUUCAUUGGCAAUCUUCUAGAACUUGGAAACAAACCCCAUCAAUCUCUCACCAAGCUUUCUCAAAUCUAUGACCCCAUUAUAACUCUGCAACUAGGCUAAGUAACAACGGUGAUUCUUUCUUCACCAAACACAGCCAAACAAGUCCUCCGAACCCACGACCAAUUCUUGUCCAACCGAACCAUCCCAGAUGCAUUUCAAGCCUAUGACUUUCGCCAGGACAGCCUGCCAUGCAUACCACCUUCGGCCAAAUGGAGAAGCCUUCGACAAAUAUGCAACUCUCAAUUGUUCGCCGCCAAAAUCCUCAAAGCCAACCAACCCAACCGCCGCAUAAAAGUGCAAGAGCUCAUAUCUCAGGUCAACGAAAGUACAGUCAAUAGUGAGGCGGUAGUUAUUGGAAGGGCCGCUUUCACUACGCUCAUUCUGCUGUCUCGUAUUGUUUUCUCAGUGGAUUUGGCUAACUCAAGUAGCGAGAUGGCCAGGGAGUUCAAGGAGACUGUGUGCGGUUUGAUGGAAGGGGUAGGGACCCCAAACGUGGGGGAAUUGUUUUCCUGUCUUUAGGAAAAUUGACCCCCAGGGCAUUAGGCAGAGCAUGAUCAAACAUUUCAAUUAGAUGGAACAACUCUUUGACUGCAUGAUUAGCCAAAGAUUGGCAUCAAGAAAAGCCCAUGAUUAUGUCAGAACCAAUGAUAUGCUGGAUACUCUUUUGAACAUCAGUGAAGCGAAUAGUGAGGACAUGGACAAGACCAAAAUUCGACAUAUGUUUCUGGUUAGUUAUUUUGUCUUUGCUCAUCAUUAUAGUUAAACUACUAUAUCAAUUAAUUUAAUUUACAGAGAGAAGGGAUUCAAACUUAAGUGCAAAGAGUUGGCGAACUGGCCUGGCCUGGCCUGACCGUCUACUCUCGUUAGGUGUUUUUUAUUUUGGUUUUUAAUCCCAUUUUGUUUUUCUGACUUGUUAUGUUAAAAAGGCUCUAUUUGCCGCGGGGACUGAUACAACUUCAGCCACAUUGGAAUGGGCCAUGGCUGAGCUGCAACGCGACCUUGAAAAGCUGUCAAAAACUCAACAAGAGCUGGAGCAAAUCAUUGGCAAAGGAAAACCAGUAGAAGAAGCAGACCAAAAUAAUGGUUUUUUGCUUGGCAUUGCAUGUCAAUUGGCAUGCUCGUGCUUGAAUUUUAUUAUUUUUUAAAUGGCUAUGAUUGAGUCAAAACGACGCUUGACGGGAUAACAUUUAGCAUGGGUUCAUAGAGCCAGUACAUUUUACGGGCUUGCUACGACCUUUUUACUUAGCGUGUUGCAUAUUUGCUUGGCGUGGCACGUAGAUUGCAACUCGCGUGAGAGUGUAUGAUGAACUUUCGCAUGCCCAAAUGGGGGUUUCUUUUUAGUAAGGUGUCGCACUGGGCCAGGAAUAUAUUUGGGCCCACUCUUAGAUUUUUUUGGGCCUCAACACACUCAAGAUUCUGUGUUUGAAUCUCACACACCCAAUAUCGAUCGCUUUUAUUAAAAUAAAAUAAAAUAAAAAAUAGAGACUAUGUCGUGUAUAUAUCUCAAUCAUUCAUUAAGUUUGAAUCUCAAUAACAAUUGGUUGUUGUAAGAACGUCCAGCAAAAUUAACUAUGAAGAUAGUUUUUUCUUUGAGGAAGGUUUAUUGGGGUGCAUAGAGUAAUUGGACUGCCUUGGCUUUAUGGGGCUCCUACCAUUGUUGACAAUGGGGCUACUAAUUAUAUUGGCCGUGUUUGUGUUUAAAUAGCUUGAGAAAAUUUGAAGUUUCUUGCCCACAAAGAGAAUUCUUACAAGAUUUGAUGACCUUAAACAUGGUGCAAGUUAAAAGAACAGUAGGGUUGGUAGGGUUGGUGGUCCUUUGAUUUCUACCCGGCAGCUGUCAAAUUUUUUUUUUUUUUUUUUCUGUUGUUUCAUCCUUGGUUAUAUUAGCCGCGGGCCUCGGCAGCUUCUUUCUUUUCUUUGUAAUUCCGUCUUAAUUUUGGUUAUGCAUGAUAAAAUUGACCUUAAAAUUUUUGUCGUGCAUGAUAAAAUUGACCUUAAAUGGCUUGACCUUUCAAUAAAAAAAACAGUUUAUUCGAUGCACGUUCUCAACACGUCUUUUUCCUUUGUCCAUAAGUAAGAAUUGAUGGGGCUCAUGAUAAGAAUUUAGAUGACUUCAUUUUCGUCAAUUCACACCAGGUGCCUUUCCCAAUCUGUCUUUGAUGAGAUUGGACAAAUAACUUUAAUGGACCAAUAUGAUUUUAUCUUGGUAUGACAAUAUUUAUAUGAUAUUUGGCACUGACCGUGUAUAGAAGGACAAAUUUGAUAAAAGCUUCCUUACCAAAAAUGGCUUGUAAUAGCUGCUUUGAAUUAUUUUGUGUGAUGCGGUUGCAUUAUUUGGUUAGUGCCUACCCAAAUUUUCUCAAAUGUCUUUACCUAAGCAAGUUGUUCUCAAAUGUCUUUACCUACGUUUGUCUCUUAGCUUUUAGGGGAUAUAUAUAAACAACUUAAAAGAGUUGGUCCUGAAAAUAUAUUUUCAUGCUUUCUCGAUAAGUCUCAACAAGAAUAUUUAUAUGAUAUUUGGCACCGACCGUGUAUAGAAGGACAAAUUUGAUAAAAGCUUCCUUACCAAAGAUGGCUUGUAAUAGCUGCUUUGAAUUAUUUUGUGUGAUGCGGUUGCCUUAUUUGGUUAGUGCCUACCCAAAUUGUAUUAUUUGAGUAAGGAAAAUUGGCAUAUAUAUCACCUGAAAUUUUAGGCAUGUGUAGAAUUACUAUUUUAAAUUUUAAUUUUAUUAACCACAUGAACUAUGUAAAGUGUUGAAAUUUACUACCUACGCCUAACUCCGUUAAAUUUUUUCGUCAAAUCAAGUCACAUAAUGCAAAUGUGAUUUUUAAGGGCAUUUAUGUCAAUCAAUAUACACAUAAAUUUAGAAAAUUUAAAAACUAACAGAAUUUAAUUUUAAAUGAAAAAAAAAAGUAGGAAAACUAACCUAAUAAUUUCACAAACUUCCCCACCUCCUUCCAACACCUAUUCUCCCCCACCAAAAUAAAGUGAACAUUUUCUCUGUGAAAUUGAGUUAUUCUUGGUCGAUGGUUGAGGCCAAUCUUCUUCUUUCUUCUUCUUUUUGUUUUUUCUGAAAAUUUUGGUGUUAGUUGCUUCACUAGGCUUAUAUCUCAUACGUCCUGCCUCUUAAAAUUGCUUGGCGCUUUCGAUAAAAAAACAGUUUAUUCGAUGCACGUUCUCAGCACGUCUUUUUCCUUUGUCCAUCAGUAAGGUUGCCGGUCUAGUUCUUUCGAUUGAUGGAGCUCAUGGUAAGAAUUUAGAUGACUUCAUUUUCGUCAAUUCACAUCAGUUGCCUUUCCCAAUCUGUCUUGAUGAGAUUGGACAAAUAACUUUAAUGGACCAAUGCGCGCAAGCCAUAUGAUUUUAUCUUGGUAUGACAAGAAUAUUUAUAUGAUUUUUGGCACCGACCAUGUAUAGAAGAACAAAUUUGAUAAAAGCUUCCUUACCAAAAAUGGCUGUUAGAGAUUGCUUGUAAUAGGUGUUUUGAAUUAUUUAGUGUUGAUUUUUCAAUUUAAAAAUUGUGUUUGGAAAUCUUGUUGGUUCAAUCACUUUUCUUUCUUUGUUUCUAAUCUUCUACAAAAAAAAUUUGGGGGAGAUGGUAAAUUAAUAUUUCAACAUUUUAAAUAGUUCAAGUGGGUUACUAGAAAAAAUUAAAAAUUCAUGAGGUAAUCCUGUACACACCUUAAAUUUCAAACGAUAUUUGUUCAAAUUUCCAUUUGGGGUAAAUAGAGAUGGCUUGUCAAAGCUUCCACCCGUGACAGCUAAGUCCAGACCCAAAUUGUUCUCAAAUGUCUUUACCCACGCAAGUUGCUCCGAAAUGUCUUUACCUAAGUUUGUCUCUUAGCUUUUAGGGGAUAUAUAUAAACAACUUAAAAGAGUUGGUCCUGAAAAUAUAUUUUCAUGCUUUCUCGAUAAGUUAGGCGAGAGAUGGAUUUCUUGAGUUGCAUGCUAAUAUGUCUUAUGGUUGGCUGGAUCUCAAUCCAUGCCCUCUAUUAUUCAUUUGCAAGAACAAGUCCCAAUAAGCUUCCGCCUGGACCAAAUCCACUUCCUUUCAUUGGAAAUCUUCUAGAGCUUGGAAACAAGCCCCACCUCUCCCUAACCAAGCUUUCACAACGCUAUGGGCCCAUUAUGACUUUACAUCUUGGCCAAAUCACGACCGUCGUGGUUUCUUCAUCCGCCAUAGCUAAACAAGUCCUCCAAACCCAUGACCAAUUGUUUUGCAACCGAACAGUAUUAGAUUCAGUCCAAGCCUGUAAACAUGGCGAGAACGGCAUGCCCUGGAUACCUGUUUCAGCUAAGUGGAGAAACCUUCGCAAAAUAUGCAACUCCCAAUUGUUCGCCACCAAAGUUCUCGACGCCAGCCAAGGCAACCGCCACCUAAAAGUGCAAGAGCUCAUAGCUGAUGUCCAUGAAAGCGUUGUAAAAGGUGAUGCAGUGGAGAUUGGAAGAGCUGCUUUCAAAACUACGCUCAAUUUGAUGUCGCGGACUGUCUUCUCUGUGGAUUUAGCGGACCAGAAUAGUGAGAGGGCUAGAGAGUUCAAGGAGCUGGUGCGGAGUAUUAUGGAAGAGAUUUCGAAACCAAACUUGGCUGACUAUUUUCCAGUGCUUAAAAAGAUUGACCCCGUGGGGAUACGGCGCCGUUUGACUCGUCACUUCCUGAAGAUGUUUGACCUCUUCGAUCGCUUGAUCAUCCAAAGAAUGGAAUCAAGAAAAGCACCUGACUAUAUCAUGACCAGUGAUAUGUUAGAUACCCUUAUAAACAGUAGUGAAGAGAAAAAUGAGGAUAUGGACAUGGUUGAAACUCAACAUUUG